rnacentral:lncRNA from 1 species
CCCAACAACCAUUCCCCCAGCAACAACAACCUUCCCCACACCAACAACCAACUGGGAGCGAUGUUAUAAGUAUCAGUGGCCGAUGAAAUGAAGAGAUGUAAUACUAGACGGGUGAAUCAUCGUUGUUAGUCAAUUGAGCAUUUAAUGUAACAAUGAUAAAUAAAGUGAUGUGCACCAUCAUGUGUAACCCCGACCUAUACUAGUUCAAACAUGGGGUAAAAGACAAAUAAGUUCUUUUCUAAAGCACAUUGCUGGCAAUUGUUACAUUCAUGCCAUAUUUCGAUUUUCAUCCCUAACUACAAUCUCAAUGUUAUGCGCUAUCUACUUAUUUAUGAAGUGUAGUAUUAUGAACAUAACAUAUUAACGUGUGUGAAACUUGGUUCAAAUUGAUGUACUAUUAACUCGGGAGUAAGGAUUAAUGACAAUUUAAUAUUUCAAUGGAGAGCCACAUGAGUUGUGCAACCUUCUUAUCUGACAUGGAUCUACAUCAAACUAGGUGUUAAUGUUCUCCACAAACUCCAUGUCAGAUUUCAUUGUUCAUUUAUAGUGAGAAUAAUUGAUUACUUAUGCACUUUUCGCCUUUGAUGUUCCACUCACAAAAUAAGUUUAACUACCAACUAUCUCCAAAAACAAUCUUAGCGGGACAAAAAGUAUCCUCUGACAAAUCACGACCCAUCAAACAAGGUUCAAAUUUGAAGGAAAAUGACCCCUUCAACUUGAGUCAAACAAAUAAUUUGCAUACAAUCAACCGAAAUCAUUAUGGGCUUCUUCAGCCCUCCACUCGAUACACACCUACGCAGGGAGUCCACCAUUGCCGCUACCGAACAACAUUUUUGGAGGCGCACAUUAUCACCCAUAAACACAAAAUAAAUCAAAACGCAAUACAAGCCUAAAAGCGGUCAGUUCCUAGGGCCAGAAAAAGCUUGUUGACCUGCAAUUGCACAUGGUUUAUUUUUCACCUAUUUAAGUAUGAGUAUAAAUCCCACAGGGAAUACAUGAAUUGGACUUUGUCCCUAAGAGACACUUAUGGUAAUGUGCCUGCAUAUUAGUUUUUGACACAAAGCAAAGUGAACGCCAAAGAUUAUAAUGACUUCUGAGUUUAGUGCGAACAAAAGUAAAUAAUGCAAAAGAAUUAAAACAGCGCAGCGGAACGAAUAAAGCAGGGAAACCGGUGGAGGAUUGAAGCAUUCUCAAGGACUCCAUAAUUCCCAUUGCAGUGUGUCUAAGGUAACAUAUGCCACUUCAUAAUUCUAAGCUAGAUACUUGAGUCACUCUUGACAUUUGUUAUUGGGCGUAUCCGGGUACAAAAUACGUUCUACUCGAGGUGUACUCCGUACCACGAAGGCCACCACAGAAGCUUCCCCACUCUAGUUCUCACUGCGGUAAUUAAGGGUUUCCCCGUGGAAGCGGCCUUAUCAAGGGUUCUCCGUUAUGCCCCUAUCAGUUGCAAAGGCGAGGUAAAGAGUCUUUUACACUCACCUUGAAUUACCUCAACAUCCUAACCUUUACAACCAUGGUAAUAUGCCUCGUGGCCUUGCGACAGAAAUGGUGAGUGGGGCACCUUCACAAAAUUCAUGAAGGCUAUUGAAAAAAACAUUCAACAGAGAAUAUCACAUCCUUAUUAACAUUUCAGCCUCCUAUACAUACCAUGGUUCAUCCAAAUCCCUGAGAACUGAGGAAACUACUCACACGUUGAGACAUGGAUGAAACAUCGGAUAAUACAUGUAUGGAUCGUACGAAUAGUGGAAAUAGUGGUGGUAAACAUGGUUUAAACACACGGAUAAUACAUGUAUGGAUCCACAAGGUUUCGGUAUUACAAUGGGAAGGAGAUGGAUGAUGCUGACGUCCCCUUGCACGAGCUGGUGGUGAUAGUGAUCUCCUCCUUUCCUUAAAUCUGCAAGCACAUUUAAAACAACAUCUUGGAGAGAACAGGAAAAAAGAAUUGUGCAGACGCGGUAAAAGCUAGCAAAUUUUACUGUGUAGGCGGGCUUGUGAUGGCUGUGGCAGUGUGGAUCUGACUACCGAGUUGUGACAAGUUGUGUGGGGCGAUGGUGGAGGUCCUCCCUCUUCUGAGCGUGAUAUCUGGCGACGGUGGGUUUCGACAGUCCCUCUCACGGGUGUGGAGGCGGGUCAAGGGGCGGUGAGUGUUGGCCGUGGUUUAGGCUGGCACUGGCGGAUCUGGGCAGGGGGAUUCAAUGGAGAGGCGGGGCUGGCAUUGGUGCGACUUCUCAGCGACUGGAGUUGCCGGCUGUUCGGAGCGCCCCCGCCCCUCUUGAUGGGGUGGCGCCCCCCUCGUGCAUAUGUCGGCAGCGGGUCGGUGAUGCAGACUAGCCGCCGGGCAAGGAGUUUGACAUGGUCGUCCUUGUCGGGGUUAGUUGCUCCCCACACAAGUUUUAGUGCUUAGUCGCCUAGGAUUAGGGUUUUUUGACUCUGGGUCGUUGUCGGUCAAGCCAAGGUGAAUGCUUGCAGCUCUGUUGGGGGAGGCACCUCCACACAUUGUAGUGUCGGUGAUGAUUGGUAGAUGUGGUGGUCAGGGCUAUGAUAUGCCGGCUGGUGGACCAGUGCCUCAGUUCACAGACUUGGCAUCUACGCUGGUCUCGACGAUGGUCGUCGGCAGUCACCUAGCGAGGUGACUGAUGCCGGGCUUUACUUGCUGCGAUUUGUGCAUUGUGAAGCGAGCGGGUCUAGGUGGUGCUCGGUGGUGAUGGUUGUGUUAGCAUUGCAUUCGUGCGCGGAUCAGUGCCGGUGAUCGCAAACAUGGCGUGGUGCGAGCUCGCCUGGCCAAGGGCUCGGUGCUGGCUCACCGGCGGUCCCCCUACUCCACCGACCAUUGGCUGGGGAUGCAGGUGUGGGUGCGUCCUAUGGUGGAGGUGCCCAACCAAACUCUUGGACUGAGUCUGGGCUAGGAGUAGAUGGAGUGUCGUCGCUCUUCCUACCAUGGUUGGCUACGUUGUCAUGUGAGCGGCGUAUGGUAUUUCGCAACAAGGAUGCCGGGUUGGCGGCCCCUGAUGGCGGGCCGCAUGAUUGCUCUUUGGCAGCCAUUAUUUCGUUGGUGGUGGCUCCCCUCCUGGGUUGUGGGGGCAACGGGAGGUGUUGCGGUUAGUAGCUCAGACGUGCCCUCUCUCUCGGAGGGGCAGCGUCCUGAUCAAGAUCUGGGGAUCUAACAUCAACGCGCUAGUCCUGAGGACCUCGUGGUGGCACAGGUGAGUUGUCGAGCAAAAGCUCCGUGCCUUGGCGUCGCCGCUGACGACACUCAUGGGUGCCACACUCUUCUUGAAGACGUCGUUGUGGUUCUUCUCUCCGUGUCAGGGCUCCGGGUGUAGAACUUUGUCUGGUGUGGACUCAGCAGGGGCGACGCUGUGCGGAGUUCUCCCACUUGGGGCCGUUGUCGUGGAGCUUAGGUGUGCUAGGUCGUAGCGUGAGGAUGUUUUGUUCUUCCGGUGCUUGUUGCUGGUAGCGUAGAAGCGUGCGUUUUGCAUGUGCCGGACAACUCAGGACCGACUUUGUAAGGUCUACGUGACCAUAUUGUAUCGUUUGGCCGUGUGCAUCUUUGGAUGUUGCUUUGUUUAUAAAGCGGGGCAAAAGCCUAUUUCGAGAACAACGAAAACAACAGCAACAACAAACAAAUCAACAACUUCAGAAUAGUUUAUCUUUUAAAAUUUCACUUGCUUAAUAAACUACAUGCAUAGGACUUUCUACAGUGUUUUAGAGAAGGACAACUACGAUUUGCUAGCUAGCUAGUUAGGUAUUUCAACACAACAUCAACAGGAAGGAGGAGAAGAACUGUUAACAGCCAGGCAGGCAGGUGGAGAGUGGAUGUGUGAGAGUGAGGUCUCUCUGGCUUUUUCCUGUAUGGUACCCCUACUUCCUUCGCUGACAAAGACCUGUUCUGAAUCUGUAAUACUGAUUCACAGUAAUGAUGGUGGAUCGACUAUAUCUUGACUAAUCCAUGUACAACGAAAAUUACUACGUACAUGAUUAAAAAUCCAAGGGUCAAAUCCUGAUCAAUCGAUCCGGCAAAUUCUGCACGAAUCUAGCAUGACAUCAUGUGUGAUUAACAAGAGUUUCAAUUAUAAUUAGCCUCCGAGAAGCAACAUGGAGGAGGAUGUAGUCGUGUUUUUGGCCUUGUUAGAAACUUCGCUUUCCAUCAAUCUGAAAACAAGUGGUAGAGGGCAAAAAAAUUAAAAAAAACAUGUGUAGAGGAUACCGCAACACAUAAAGCCACACACACAAAAACAGCAGUAUGCUAGCUGGUCCAUGACAUUGACAAAUCAAUUGAUUUGCUGCAACCAUAUGUAUGAAUAAUAUCGCCAAGGAUAAGAGAAGGAAAAAAUAUAAAUAUACCGAUAGGCUCUUCUUUUGUUCAUGGAUGCAUGUUGCAUGAGCCAAGUGUAUUGGCAGUAUGGCUUGUGUUUGCUGCAUGAUGGCGGCAGGUUCCCAUUCAGUUAGGCAUGCUAAGUCCUAAAUUCAUUUAUUCACGUAUCAGGUAGAAGUAGAACAAAUUUCAUUUCUUUUCUGUAGGUUCCUUGCUUAAAAGAAAAUAGAAAAAAAUACACUUCUAUAAUUACCAGAAAAAAUCAACUGUAUGUCGCUCAGCCUUCCCUUUUUGUUCCGUAUCAGUAUCAACAAUCAUAGUACUAAUAGCUUUCUAUACUGGCGGUAGUAAAUUCAAUAAAAGAAACCUGGAGACUAUCUGAACAAUUUGAAACAAUAUAUACAAAUUGAGAUCAACUAACGACAAAAAUCCAAAAGAAAUGUUCAUGUCUACGUGGAGUGAAUCGAUCAAGCCGUGCAAAGCCCUAACAAUUCGUUUUGUAUUAAUAACUCAUAUGACAAUACAACCGCUCCAUAUGAAAAUGUAAUAUGAUGAUUCAUGAAUGCUUAUCCAUCUUAUAAAUAUAUUGUGCAAAAAAUAUCGAGUUAGUUCAGAGAAAACGCUGUCUAGAACAAUCUUCACAUUAAUAGUGUGAUCUAUCUCAACGACUCACACAAGAUUACAUAGUUUGUUCCCUUAAGUAUGCCAAUCUGGAUACGCCUAACAAUAUGUAGAACAUGACAAACUAAAUCAGAACAAGGGACAAAAUCUAGAUCAAUGUUUGAAGUGUAAAGUGAAUACGAUGAGUCAUUUGUCGUUAUCAAGCAUUCCAUACACCUAGAUGAUAUGUGCAAGAACAAUCAACUAUGACGAAUAAUCCAAAAUCACGAUAGUAAGUAGUACCAUAAAACACGACAUACCAAAUUAUUGUAAAUGAUAAGCUUAAGAGCACUUUUUCAAGAAGCACGUGUAAAGAUUACAAACUUAGUUCCCUUAAGUUAUGCCAAUCUGGAUACACCUAACAACAUGUAGAACAUCACAAACUAAAUCGGAAAGACGGACAAAAUCUAGAUCAAUGUUUGAAGUGUAAAGUGAAUACGAUGAGUCAUUCAUCGUGAUCAAGCAUUCGAUACAGCCAGAUGAUAUGUGCAAGAACAAUCAACUAUGAUGAACAAUCCAAAAUCAUGCUAGGAAGUAGUGCCACCAAACACAACAUAUCAAAUUAUUAGGUCGAUAAUCGUAAGUGCACUUUUUCAAGAAAAGAGUGGGAAGAUGAAAACAAAAUAUGUCAUGCCUGCUAUAAAUACGACUACACCAUGUGGGUCUCUUCCAUCAUCUAACCUUCAAACACCUAAAGCAAAAACACCAAAGCCAAGUGAGCAAUAGUAAACACAAAUCAAACAUGAAGACCUUCAUCAUAUUUGUCCUCCUUGCUAUGGUGAUGAGCAUCGCCAGUGCCACUAGGCAACUAAGCCCUAGAAGCAAGGAGUUGCAAACACCACAAGAACAAUUCCCCCAACAGCAAUUUCCUCAACCACAACAAAUCCUCCAACAACAAUUCCCCCAACAACAACAAAUCCCCCAGCAACCGCAACAAUUCCCCCAACAACAAAUCCCGCAACAGCAAAUCCCGCAACAACAAAUCCCCCAACAACAACNNNNNNNNNNNNNNNNNNNNNNNNNNNNNNNNNNNNNNNNNNNNNNNNNNNNNNNNNNNNNNNNNNNNNNNNNNNNNNNNNNNNNNNNNNNNNNNNNNNNNNNNNNNNNNNNNNNNNNNNNNNNNNNNNNNNNNNNNNNNNNNNNNNNNNNNNNNNNNNNNNNNNNNNNNNNNNNNNNNNNNNNNNNNNNNNNNNNNNNNNNNNNNNNNNNNNNNNNNNNNNNNNNNNNNNNNNNNNNNNNNNNNNNNNNNNNNNNNNNNNNNNNNNNNNNNNNNNNNNNNNNNNNNNNNNNNNNNNNNNNNNNNNNNNNNNNNNNNNNNNNNNNNNNNNNNNNNNNNNNNNNNNNNNNNNNNNNNNNNNNNNNNNNNNNNNNNNNNNNNNNNNNNNNNNNNNNNNNNNNNNNNNNNNNNNNNNNNNNNNNNNNNNNNNNNNNNNNNNNNNNNNNNNNNNNNNNNNNNNNNNNNNNNNNNNNNNNNNNNNNNNNNNNNNNNNNNNNNNNNNNNNNNNNNNNNNNNNNNNNNNNNNNNNNNNNNNNNNNNNNNNNNNNNNNNNNNNNNNNNNNNNNNNNNNNNNNNNNNNNNNNNNNNNNNNNNNNNNNNNNNNNNNNNNNNNNNNNNNNNNNNNNNNNNNNNNNNNNNNNNNNNNNNNNNNNNNNNNNNNNNNNNNNNNNNNNNNNNNNNNNNNNNNNNNNNNNNNNNNNNNNNNNNNNNNNNNNNNNNNNNNNNNNNNNNNNNNNNNNNNNNNNNNNNNNNNNNNNNNNNNNNNNNNNNNNNNNNNNNNNNNNNNNNNNNNNNNNNNNNNNNNNNNNNNNNNNNNNNNNNNNNNNNNNNNNNNNNNNNNNNNNNNNNNNNNNNNNNNNNNNNNNNNNNNNNNNNNNNNNNNNNNNNNNNNNNNNNNNNNNNNNNNNNNNNNNNNNNNNNNNNNNNNNNNNNNNNNNNNNNNNNNNNNNNNNNNNNNNNNNNNNNNNNNNNNNNNNNNNNNNNNNNNNNNNNNNNNNNNNNNNNNNNNNNNNNNNNNNNNNNNNNNNNNNNNNNNNNNNNNNNNNNNNNNNNNNNNNNNNNNNNNNNNNNNNNNNNNNNNNNNNNNNNNNNNNNNNNNNNNNNNNNNNNNNNNNNNNNNNNNNNNNNNNNNNNNNNNNNNNNNNNNNNNNNNNNNNNNNNNNNNNNNNNNNNNNNNNNNNNNNNNNNNNNNNNNNNNNNNNNNNNNNNNNNNNNNNNNNNNNACAACAAUUCCCCCAACAACCACAACAACAAUUCCCCCAACAACAAUUUCCCAUACCAUACCCACCCCAACAACAAUCACAAGAAGCUUCCCCAUACCAACAAUACCACAACAACAACUAUCUGGGAGCGACGUUAUAAGUAUCAGUGGCCGAUGAAAUGAAGAGAUGUAAUACUAGACAGGUGAAUCAUCGUUGUUAGUCAAUGGAGCAUAAUGUAACGGGUAUAAAUAAAAUGAUGUGCACCAUCAUGUGUAACCCCGACCUGUACUAGUUCAAACAUGGGAAUAAAAGACAAAUAAGUUCUUUUCUGAAGCACAUUGCUGGCAAUUGUUAUAUUCAUGCCAUAUUUCGAUUUCCAUCGCUAACUACAAUCUCAAUGUUAUGGUCUAUCUACUUAUUUAUGAAGUGUAGUACUAUGAACAUAACAUAAUUAACAUGUCUGAAAAUUGGGUCAAAUUGAAGUACUAUUAAUUCAAGAGUAAGGAGUAAUUACAAUUUAACAUUUCAAUGGAGAGCUCUAAUUGUAGACUGCGUUGUUAAUUCCCCGAAGAGGAGAGGAUGAUGUAGUAUAGUAGAGAUAAGUAUUUCCCUCAGCUAAGAACCAAGGUUAUUAAUCCAGUAGGAGAACCACACAAAACCUCGUUAGCAGCACCUGCACACACAACAGCAAACACUUGCACCCAACGCAAAUAAGAGGGUUGUCAAUCCUCUUAGCGAUUAUUUGCAAGGAUUAGUUCUGACAGUGAUACAUAGAUAAAAUAAAUUACUAAAUAAAAUAAAAAUAAAUAAAUUGCNNNNNNNNNNNNNNNNNNNNNNNNNNNNNNNNNNNNNNNNNNNNNNNNNNNNNNNNNNNNNNNNNNNNNNNNNNNNNNNNNNNNNNNNNNNNNNNNNNNNNNNNNNNNNNNNNNNNNNNNNNNNNNNNNNNNNNNNNNNNNNNNNNNNNNNNNNNNNNNNNNNNNNNNCAGAGUUUUCACUAGAGGAUUCUCUCUUGAUCAUAGAGCAUAUGGUGGGUAAACACAUUACUGUUGGGCAAGCUAUUAUAUACUAAAAGGAAAAUAUUGGUCCAAAAUAGAGAAUAGGCUAGAAAAUCCGGCGUUAAUUAGAAAAUAUGAACCCUUGAUCCGUUUAAUUUUAAAAAUUAUAAAUCUAUGACCGUUCAAUAUACGUAACAAGGUAGGGCGUGGAUAACUUCCCGCGUAACGUGACACAUGUAAGAAACACAAACAUGGGUCCAGUUAAGGCAAACACGUAGAUGUGUUGAAGUGGGAAUGAAUAGAAUUGCUACGUCCGAAUAUGCAAGAGAUAUAAAAGAAGAAGAAAACUAAAGAACAUGUCGUGUUCAGAUUGGACUAAACGUAUGUGCGUAUACAACCACAACCACAAUCCGAAAGGUCCAGCCAUUAAUCCCGUGGGUCCAUCCAAAACAAAAGGUGGAUAUCCAUCUAAUUGCCCCACGUCCAUGGAACAUACUUAUUAGAGUCCACAAACAACAGCUGCUGGUCUCUUUUACAUGAUCCUCCUUGCACUGUUAGGACUUUGCCGUCGGACAUCCCAAAGUUCUUGUGAAGUUCACAUCUAAAAAUACUAUCAUAAUAAAAAAAAUCCAUUUCAUACUCCAGGAAAGAUAUCACCGUCCCAAAGUUUCAAUUGCAAUCUAAGUUUUGCCACAACUGGGUAUUUAAAGCUUAUUUUGCCAUAGCCAGGCAAUUUCAGCCACUAAGGUUUUUGUGGCAGAUCAAGCAUCUUCCCAUUGGAAACUCCCAACUGUAAAAAGACCAGCAAAUUAGCAAUCAUUGGCAAAUCAGCAAUCUUAUAGCGGCAGCAGCUCCCAUCAAUCAGGCAACUCAUCUUUCAAAAAUCAGAGACAAUAAGCAACCAUACACAUCAUGGACAUAUGAUAUUAACGAUAAUUACAUAUGUGAUUUCUGUGUUGAAUUUCGUACAACAUCACCAUGAAGAGAAGCGCAUCCACAUGGCAAGUAAUUUCCAAAAGCCGCCAAGAAGGUGAAAAGCAAUCAAAUAUGCAAUCCAACAAGUUAAUUAUUAAGCUAUAGACCAUGCAUGUUUCAGUGGUGCAUACAAGAUCAGUAGAACAAAUUCCUAGCCGUUACGACAUUCAUCAGGGAGGCGAGGACUGUGAAGCGAGGGGUUGCGAGCUGGAGGGAAUGGCGGCACACCCCGUGUCUCAGCCGAGAGAGGAGAGGCCGGGGAUAGAAUUAAGAGAGACACGAGAGAUGACAGAUGAUAGGCUAGGGAUCGUUGGGCGUUCUCACAUAUUGCGUGGAGGUGGUUAGCUAAAUGGGGCAGCACAAAGGCCCAGUCAACCGCAGGUGGCAGAGUUUUCUCCCAGUGCAGCAGCCCUUUAGGACAGUUGAGCCAAGAAAUAUAAUUACAAAAUUAGGGAUUCAUCCAAUAGUCAGAAAUGAUCUAUACAAGUGAUCUGAUAGUUACAAAUGUUGAAUGCUUGAGAGAGCUGGGAUAAGGCUAGGUUUUACUGUCCUAAAUGUAUUAGAUAUGUAGAAUCUGACAGUUAUUAAAGUUUAAUUGUCCUUCGAAACAAACUAUGGCUAAUCACCACUACGCUAAUUACUUUUUACAAUUGUUGAACAUGAAUGGGGGUUAGGGGGGCGUAACACUGCUGAUGAGGGUCCCAACCCCGAAAAAGGUGGAGGGUGCAUGAUCAAAUUAACAUCUAACACUAACAUGCAAUACCUUUUAAGUUCUUAUAUUGAUUCAAUCGCAAAAGGGAGAAAUGAAACAAAAGUAGGCAGCGGGACCUGGAAGUCAACAGAGGAAACAGAAGGGUAUGCUCAUCGUGUGGAAUCGUUUGUGGGGGCGAGCUGAGUAAACAGAGGAAGGUGAUCGAAUGACGUCUCAGGUUUAUUUGUUUACUGAACAGACAGACAUGUGUAAGUUUUUUUUCCCUUUGAGGGGAAAGACGUGUGUAACUAGGGAGAGAUGAUUUUGCACGUUCUGUAUUUUUUUCCACCAGAAAACAGAUACUACUUUAACAAAUAAAUCCUACACUAAAUAUUUUAUAUGCUGCAAAUUACAGGCCACAUACGCAUGAGCCUAAAUUAUAGGCGACUAUUUCAUAGGGUGAAAGUAAACAAAAUAGAAAAUCUUAUAGGCGACAUAAGCAUGAACCUAAAUUAUAUAUUUUAUAUGCUGCAAAUUAUUUUAAAAACAUGUGAAAAUAUAGUGCAUGAUCAUCAGACCAAAAACUCUAGCCUGUACAAAACACUCAUAUUUAGACGUAUAUUUCAUAUGGAGCUGCCAAUUCAUAUCAAUCCGGCACUACAACAGUAACACUAUCGUGCAGCCGCUUAAGUCAAAUCUAAGGUUAAAGCUAAUCAACACAAAAUAUCCAAUGUAAAAGGAAUUACUUAUACUAAAAAAUAUAAAAUAUACCUAAGAGUGCGAACAAUGACGAAUAUUUACUAUAAGAGUGCUAGCCCUCGCAUUUGCGAGGGCCACCUUGCUAGUUGAUAAAAAACAAAUAAUUAUGAUGGAUUCAUGGCAAUGAUCAUGUAUAUAGGCAUCACGUUCGAGACAAGUAGACCGACUCCCGUCUGCAUCUACUACUAUUACUCCACCCAUCGACCACUAUCCAGCAUGCAUCCAGAGUAUUAGGUAUAAAACAGAGUGACGCCUUAAGUACGAUGACAUGAUGUAGAUAAAGUAAAUUCAAGAAAUAUGAUUAAACCCCAUCUUUUUAUCCUUAAUUGUCAGCCCAUUGGCUGUUAUUUUCCCCGAUCUGACCGUCCGCGACGCUCCUGUUGUUCGCAACGCUACCGCUACGACUGCGGGAGCAUGUCAUUUUCGUUAUACAUGUAACCCAAAAAUAUCUCUAACAUUAAUGACAACAAUACAAAUACGUGUUAUGUCCGUUUUUGUCACUGGGAUUGAGCAAUGCAAGAUUGAAUCCAUCACAAAGCACCUCUCCCCAUUGCAAGAUAAACCAAUCUAGUUGGCCAAACCAAAUCGAUAGAUCAGGGAGAAAUAUAAAGCUAAAAUAAUCACGCAUAAAAGAGCUCAGAGAAGACUCAAAUAUUUCUCAUGAAUCAUAUGAUCAUAAACUCACGAUUCAUUGGAUCCCAACAAACACACCGGAAAAGAAGAUUACAUCGGAUAGAACUCCAAGAACAUCGGGGAUAACUUUGUAUUGAAUAUCAAAGAGAGAGAAGAAGCCAUUUAGCUAUUGGCUAUGGACCCAUAGGUGUGUGGUAAAAUACUCACACAUCAUCGGAAGGACAGCAUUGUUUAUGUGGAAGCCCUUCGUGAUCGAUUCCCCCUCCGGCAGAGUACUGGAAAAGGCCUCCAGACGGGAUCGCGGAAGAACAGAGGCUUGCGGCGGCGAAAAAGUUUUGUCAUCUAUCUCUCUGGUGGUUAUGGAAUAUUUGUGAAUUUAUAGUGGAAGAAUUAGGUCAGGAGGUGCCACGAGGGGGCCAUAAGCCUAGGGGCGCGGUGAUACGUCCAUUUUGCAUCAUGUUUUAUUACGGUUAUUUAUUAAGUUUUGAGCCAAUAUAACACUUCAUGGAGUAUUUCUAAUGCCUUUUCUCUCUUAAUCUGCAAGGUUUACACAAAGAGGGAGAAUACCGGCAGCUGGAUUUCAGGGCCUGAAAAAGCUACAUCAGAGAUCCCUAUUCUGCACAUCUCCAAAUGGGCUGAAAAUUCACGAAGAUUUAUUUUAGAAUAUAAAAAAAAUACUGGGCCAAAGAUCCACGGGAGGAGGCCACCCAGGUGCCCACACAACAAUAGGGCGCGCCCCACCCCUGGGGCGCGCCCUGAUGCUGUAUGAGGCCCCUGGCCCACUUCAGCCCCCCUCCUUCUGGUAUAUAAGUCAUUUUACCAUAAAAUAUUUAUGGGGAGACUUUCAGGACGAGGCGCCGCCGCCACGAGGCGGAACUAGAGCAGGAGAAAUUUGGCUCUCCGGCGGGCAGAUUCCGCCGGGGAUACUUCCCUCCGGGAGCUGGAAAUCAAAGCUUACGCCAUCACUAACAACCCUCUCAUCGUGGGAGGGCCAAUCUUCAUCAUCAUAAACCACAACACCAUCUCAUCUCUAUCCCUAGUUCAUAUCUUGUAUUCGAUCUCUGUGUCAAAACAUUAGAUUGGUACUUGUGUUUGACUAGUAGUGUUGAUUACUUAUCGUAGUUGAUGCUAGUGGAUUUGUUUGGUGAAUUACCAAAUGUUCUGAUCGUGCAUCCAAAUUAUAUCCUCUCUGAUCAUGAACAUGAUGAUGAUGUGUGAGUAGUUACUUUUAUUCUUGAGGACAUGGGAGAAGUCUUGUCAUUAGUAAUCAUGUGAUUCCACUGGUAGAAAACUGGGCUUUGGUCACAGGGCAAUAUUCACAUUAGUCCCGGUGCAGUCACGAACGGGGACUAAUGUGAGCAUUGGUCCCGGUUCGUGCGGCCAGGGGCCUGCCGGGCCUCGUGGGGGCAUUGGUCCCGGUUCGUCCGGCCCCUUUGGUCCCGGUUGGUGGGACAAACCGGGACCAAUGGGCCACGCUCCUGGCCCACCACCCUUUAGUCCCGGUUCAUACCACAAACCGGGACUAAAGGGCUGGUCCUAGUUGCGGCCAGUGUUUAGUCCCUCCUCGCCAACCGAAGGGCGCUCACACCAGUUUAUAAGCCCGUCCCUCUCUGCCUUGUUGAGCUUCUCUUAAAGUGAAAAUAGAUGCCCUUAUACAGGGAAUUUGACCUAAAUUCACAGUAAAUUUCAUAGAAAUUUGUUAUGAAUUUAGGUUUAAUUUUCUCUAUAAGCGCAUCUAUGUUCAUUUUUUAUAUUUAUAAAAUAAAUAAACAUUAAUAAAAUAAAUAAAACUAAAUAAACCUUAAUAAAAUAAAAUAAAAUAAACUAUAGUAACUACAAUAAAUAAACCUUAAUAAAUUAAGUAAAAAUAGCAGCAGUAAAAUAAAUAAAAAUAGCAGCAGUAAAAUAAAUAAAAAUAAAAUAAUUAAAGUAAAAUACAUAAGUAAUUAUAAAUAAAAUAAAUAAGUUUUUUGUUGUAAGUAGAACAAAACAAAACAAAUAAAGCAAAAGAGAAAAAAAACAGAGGAACAAAAUUAUGCCACCUACUGGGCCACCACGGCCUGAAUACGACUAGAAACCCAUCCAUGGGCCAGGAUUCANNNNNNNNNNNNNNNNNNNNNNNNNNNNNNNNNNNNNNNNNNNNNNNNNNNNNNNNNNNNNNNNNNNNNNNNNNNNNNNNNNNNNNNNNNNNNNNNNNNNNNNNNNNNNNNNNNNNNNNNNNNNNNNNNNNNNNNNNNNNNNNNNNNNNNNNNAAAAAAUUAUGCCACCUACUGGGCCACCACGGCCUGAAUACGACUAGAAACCCAUCCAUGGGCCAGGAUUCAGGCCCGCAGAAGGCCCAGUAGGCCCCACAGGCAAAGAGAACAGUUAGGCCCGAAAGCCUGCAGUUGAGAGGAGUUCGAGAGGGUGGGCGCAGCAGCGCUUAUAAACCACUCUCGAGCUCUCUCAACUAGCGAGGUGGGACUAAACUUUUGACGCGGGGCAGCACAAGGCCUUUGGUCCCGGUUGGUGCCACCAACCGGGACUAAAGGAGGCAUUGGUCCCGGUUCGUGGCACCAACCGGGACAAAGGCCUUUAGUCCCGGUUGGUGCCACGAACCGGGACCACCGAGUUCCCUAUAUACCCCAUCGCCACAGCAGAGCACUCCAGAGUGCUCUGUUUUUUCUGGCCGCGAGGGGAGGGCAUUUGGGUGCUCUAGCUCACCUCCUAUGCACAUGAGGUGUUCGAUGAAAUGUCUGAGCCACACUAGUUAAUCUUUGUCCUCUCGAAACUCGACCUCCGAGCUCCAUUUUCCCCGAGAUUUGUCUAGGUUUAGCGGUCCGUCACGUCCCGUCCCCGUCUUCACCGCCGUCGAUCGCCCGCGCCGAUCUCGUCGCCAGCACCACCGUGGUGAGCCUCUUGUUCUUAUCUUCUUUCUGAAAGGAAAAAAAUUCUUACUUUAGAUAGUUACUUGUCUAAUUUUGUUACUUUUAUUAUUCCUUCUUAUUACAUAGUGCGAUGGUUUUGGUAUCCGCCCCCGUCGGCCCUCAUCCUGUCUAUGAUUCGGAUGUGGUAUAUAUUAUCUUUUUAUAACUAUUUGGUUCAUUUACUGUUUAUGACAAAUAUACCGACCAACGUGACAUAGAUUUUAUUUAUCUAGGAGGUGGUUGAACCGGAAAUUCUAACCGACCCUAUUGUUGAGAGGUUAAAUUUAGUUGAAGAAGAAAACAAUUAUUUGAAGGAAAAAAUAAAAAAAAUUGAGGAGGAGAAGAUGAUAUUGGAGUGGCAUGUUGCGGAUGUCGUCGAUGAUCACAAGAUCAAGAUGGAUGCAAUGCGCUUAAAGAUUAGAAAGAUUAGAAAAUAUGCCAUUCAUACUGAGGCUUGGUAUCAUUAUGCCAUUGGAUCAAUUGUUACCUUGGUUGCGAUUAUGAUCGCAUUUGUUUUCGCAUUGAAAUGUUUUACAUAGUUUCAAUGUAUGGUUUAAUUAAUUAGAUGCUCUGGAGAGCUAUAUAUAUGUUGUUAGAUGAGAACUAUGUAUGUACUUUGGUUUUAAUGUGAUGAUGAACUUCUAUUAAUUUGGUCACUUAAUUAUCUAUUCAUGAUGUUCUGUAAUGGUUUUUGACACACUUAAUUAUAUAUAAUGCACGCAGAUGAACCGGCAAUGGAUGUACGAUGACAGACACACCUCCGAGUACAUUAAGGGCGUGCAUGAUUUUCUCGAAGUGGCUGAGGCAAACAAGCAGAAUGGUUUUAUGUGUUGUCCAUGCCCUAUAUGUGGGAAUACGAAGUCUUACUCUGACCGGAAAAUCCUUCACACCCACCUGCUUUACAAGGGUUUCAUGCCACACUAUAAUGUUUGGACGAGGCACGGAGAAAUAGGGCUUACGAUGGAAGACGGUGAAGAAGAAGAGGAUGAUGACAACUAUGUGCCCCCUGAAUACGGUGAUGCUGCAACGGGGGAAGCUGCUGAAGAUCAAGAGGAACCAGACGAUGUGCCCAAUGAUGCUGCAAGGGGGGAAGCUGCUGAAGAUCAAGAGGAACCAGUGCCCGAUGAUGAUGAUCUCCGCCGGGUGAUAGUCGAUGCAAGGACGCAAUGCAAAAGUCAAAAGGAGAAGCUGAAGAUCGAUCGCAUGUUAGAGGAUCACAAAAAAGGGUUGUACCCCAAUUGCGAAGAUGGCAACACAAAGCUCGGUACCGUACUGGAAUUGCUGCAGUGGAAGGCAGAGAAUGUUGUGCCUGACAAAGGGUUUGAGAAGCUAUUGAAAAUAUUGAAGAAGAAGCUUCCAAAGGAUAACGAAUUGCCCGACAGUACAUACGCAGCAAAGAAGGUCGUAUGCCCUCUAGGAUUGGAGGUGCAGAAGAUACAUGCAUGCCCUAAUGACUGCAUCCUCUACCGCGGUGCGUACAAGGAUCUGAACGCAUGCCCGGUAUGCGGUGCAUUGCGAUAUAAGAUCAGACGAGAUGACUCUGGUGAUGUUGACGGCGAGCCCCCCAGGAAGAGGGUUCCUGCGAAGGUGAUGUGGUAUGCUUCUAUAAUACCACGGUUGAAAUGUCUGUUCAGAAACGAAGAGCAUGCCAAGUUGAUGCGAUGGCACAGUGGGGACCGUAAGAAAGACGGGAAGUUGAGAGCACCCGCCGACGGGUCGCAGUGGAGAAAAAUCGAGAGAAAGUACUGGGCUGAGUUUGCAGCUGACCCAAGGAACGUAUGGUUUGGUUUAAGCGCGGAUGGCAUUAAUCCUUUCGGGGAGCAGAGCAGCAAUCACAGCACCUGGCCCAUGACUCUAUGUAUGUAUAACGUUCCUCCUUGGAUGUGCAUGAAGCAGAAGUUCAUUAUGAUGCCAGUUCUCAUCCAAGGCCCUAAGCAACCCGGCAACGACAUUGAUGUGUACCUAAGGCCAUUAGUUGAAGAACUUUUACAGCUGUGGAAUGGAAACGGUGUACGUACGUGGGAUGAGCACAAAAAGGAGGAAUUUAACCUGCACGCGUUGCUGUUUGUAACCAUCAACGAUUGGCCCGCUCUCAGUAACCUUUCAGGACAGACAAACAAGGGAUAGCACGCAUGCACGCACUGUUUAGAUGACACUGAAAGUAUAUACCUGGACAAAAGCAGGAAGAAUGUGUACCUGGGCCACCGUCGAUUUCUUCCGACAAACCAUCAAUGUCGAAAGAAAGGCAAGCAUUUCAAAGGCGAGGCAGAUCAGCGGAAGAAGCCCGCCAUGCGUACCGGUGAUCACGUACUUGCUAUGGUCAAUGAUUUACACGUAAUCUUUUGAAAGGGUCCCGGCGGACUAGCUGUUCCGAAUGACGCUGAGGGACACGCACCCAUCUGGAAGAAGAAAUCUAUAUUUUGGGACCUACCCUGCUGGAAAGAGCUAGAGGUCCGCUCUUCAAUCGACGUGAUGCACGUGACGAAGAACCUUUGCGUGAACCUGCUAGGCUUCUUGGGCGUGUAUGGGAAGACAAAAGAUACACCUGAGGCACGGGAGGACCUGCAAUGUUUGCACGAAAAAGACGGCAUGCCUCCGAAGCAGUAUGAAGGUCCUGCCAGCUACGCUCUUACGAAAGAAGAGAAAGAAAUCUUCUUUGAAUGCCUGCUCAGUAUGAAGGUCCCGACUGGCUUCUCGUCGAAUAUAAAGGGAAUAAUAAAUAUGCCAGAGAAAAAGUUCCAGAACCUAAAGUCUCAUGACUACCACGUGAUUAUGACGCAACUGCUUCCGGUUGCAUUGAGGGGGCUUCUACCAGAAAACGUCCGAUUAGCCAUUGUGAAGCUAUGUGCAUUCCUCAAUGCAAUCUCUCAGAAGGUGAUCGAUCCAGAAAUCAUACCAAUGCUAAGGAGUGAUGUGGCGCAAUGUCUUGUCAGUUUCGAGCUGGUGUUCCCGCCAUCCUUCUUCAAUAUCAUGACGCACGUCCUAGUUCAUCUAGUCGACGAGAUUGUCAUUCUGGGGCCCGUAUUUCUACACAAUAUGUUCCCCUUUGAGAGGUUCACGGGAGUCCUAAAGAAAUAUGUCUGUAACCGCGCUAGGCCAGAAGGAAGCAUCUCCAUGGGCCAUCAAACAGAGGAUGUCAUUGGGUUUUGUGUUGACUUCAUUCCUGGCCUUAGGAAGAUAGGUCUCCCUAAAUCGCGGUAUGAGGGGAGACUGACUGGAAAAGGCACGCUUGGAGGGGACUCAAUAAUAUGCAGGGACGGAUAUUGUUGGUCUCAAGCACACUACACAGUUCUACAGAACUCUACCUUGGUGACCCCGUAUGUCGAUGAACACAAGAACAGUCUGCGCUCCAAACACCCGGAGCAGUGUGACGACUGGAUUACAUGUGAACACAUCAGGACUUUCAGCAGUUGGUUGGAAACACGUCUCAUAGGUGACACCACUGUUUGUGUUGAGUUGUACUCAUUGUCCAGGGGACCAUCUUCGACUGUAUUGACUUACAAAGGAUACGAGAUAAAUGGGAAUACAUUUUACACGAUCGCCCAAGAUCAAAAGAGCACCAACCAAAACAGCGGUGUCCGCUUUGAUGCAGCAACCGAGAGGGGAAAGGACACAUAUUAUGGUUACAUAAUGGACAUAUGGGAACUUGACUACGGACAUGAUUUUAAGGUCCCUUUGUUUAAGUGCAAAUGGGUCAAUCUGUCAGGAGGUGGGGUACAGGUAGACCCACAGUACGGAAUGACAACAGUGGAUCUGAACAAUCUUGGGUACACUGAUGAACCGUUCGUCCUAGCCAAUGAUGUGGCACGGGUUAUCUAUGUGAAGGACAUGUCUACCAGACCGAGGAAAAGAAAAGAUAAGGAAGCGAAUACAUCAUACGAUGAGCCAAAGCGCCACAUAGUUCUUUCAGGAAAAAGGGACAUUGUGGGAGUGGAGGGCAAGACAGACAUGUCUGAAGAUUAUGAAAAGUUUCAUGAAAUUCCUCCCUUCAAAGUCAAGGCUGACCCAAGCAUCCUGAUAAACGAUGAAGAUUAUCCAUGGUUAUGGCGCAAUAAGCCAAUGACACAAGCGAAGAAAAAGUGAAGACUUUCUCCCGCAACUAUUAUGAUGAUACCAUGCCAACUUUGUAAUAGACGAGUAUGAUACCAUUGUCCGUUUUGUACAAGAAGUGCAUCUAGUUUUUUGCCGUAACCCUCUCAACUUUCUUGCACAUGCUGUGUGGAUGAAAUGAUGAUACCAUGCCAACUUUCAAUCUUUUCAGAGUUCAUUUGAAAUGCUUUUCAAUUAGUAAAUGCAUGAAAAAUAACAGGCCAAAAAUUAAAAAUUAUGCCACCUACUGGGCCACCACGGCCUGAAUACGAUUAGAAACCCAUCCAUGGGCCAGGAUUCAGGCCCGCAGAAGGCCCAGUAGGCCCACAGGCAUGUACAGAGAGGUUAGGCCCGUAAGCCUGCUUUAGAGAGGAGCUCGACAGCUCAGGCGCACCGCACCUUAUAAAUAGGUGCGGCUCUCUCUUAGCUAGCGAGGUGGGACUAAACUCACCACCACGCCGCUGUGCAAGGCCAUUGGUCCCGGUUGGUGGCACGAACCGGGACCAAUUCCACCCUUUGGUCCCUGUUGGUGCCACGAACCGGUACUAAUGAGGCUGUGGCCCCACGAGCACCUUUAGUACCUGUUCGUGGCACGAACCGGUACUAGAGUUUCUUACUAAGCAGUUUUUUAGUCCCACCUCGCUAGCUGAGAGGCACUAGGAGCGGUUUAUAAGCCCUGAGUGCAGAGACAAUGAAGAAGAGGCGCAAUGCUCACGUUGCUUAGCUUCAAGCCUUGAGGAAUAAGGUAGACUGCAUCGAGCUAUGUGCAGUGCAGUCUACACUAUUCCAAAAGGCUUGAAGCAAAUCAACGAGCAUUGCGCCUCUUUUUUAUUUUUAAUAACUUAUUACAACUCCGGACUUCUUGUGUUCCGACAAAAUAAAAUGAACUUUAAUAAAAUUUAUGAAACUAAAAUUAACAAAGUAUUUUACGUUCAAAACAUUAUAAGAAACCUCUAUUAUUAUUGAAACUAAAAUCAUAUAAAAUUGAUGCAACUAAAAUUAUUGAAGUAUUUUCUGUUCAAAAUCAUUAAAAGCAAAAAGAAUUUUCAUAAAGAACUUUUUUUGAUCGAAACUUUAAUAGCAAAAAGAAUUAUCAUAAAGUAAAAUAAAUAAGUAAUUAGAAACAAAAUAAAAUAAAAUAAAUAAGUUUUUUGUUGUAAGUAGAAACAAAACAAAAUAAAUAUAGCAAAAAAGAAAACAAAAAAACUAAAUACAGCAAAAAGAAUUUUCAUAAAGAACUAAUGGCACUAAUAGAAAGUNNNNNNNNNNNNNNNNNNNNNNNNNNNNNNNNNNNNNNNNNNNNNNNNNNNNNNNNNNNNNNNNNNNNNNNNNNNNNNNNNNNNNNNNNNNNNNNNNNNNNNNNNNNNNNNNNNNNNNNNNNNNNNNNNNNNNNNNNNNNNNNNNNNNNNNNNNNNNNNNNNNNNNNNNNNNNNNNNNNNNNNNNNNNNNNNNNNNNNNNNNNNNNNNNNNNNNNNNNNNNNNNNNNNNNNNNNNNNNNNNNNNNNNNNNNNNNNNNNNNNNNNNNNNNNNNNNNNNNNNNNNNNNNNNNNNNNNNNNNNNNNNNNNNNNNNNNNNNNNNNNNNNNNNNNNNNNNNNNNNNNNNNNNNNNNNNNNNNNNNNNNNNNNNNNNNNNNNNNNNNNNNNNNNNNNNNNNNNNNNNNNNNNNNNNNNNNNNNNNNNNNNNNNNNNNNNNNNNNNNNNNNNNNNNNNNNNNNNNNNNNNNNNNNNNNNNNNNNNNNNNNNNNNNNNNNNNNNNNNNNNNNNNNNNNNNNNNNNNNNNNNNNNNNNNNNNNNNNNNNNNNNNNNNNNNNNNNNNNNNNNNNNNNNNNNNNNNNNNNNNNNNNNNNNNNNNNNNNNNNNNNNNNNNNNNNNNNNNNNNNNNNNNNNNNNNNNNNNNNNNNNNNNNNNNNNNNNNNNNNNNNNNNNNNNNNNNNNNNNNNNNNNNNNNNNNNNNNNNNNNNNNNNNNNNNNNNNNNNNNNNNNNNNNNNNNNNNNNNNNNNNNNNNNNNNNNNNNNNNNNNNNNNNNNNNNNNNNNNNNNNNNNNNNNNNNNNNNNNNNNNNNNNNNNNNNNNNNNNNNNNNNNNNNNNNNNNNNNNNNNNNNNNNNNNNNNNNNNNNNNNNNNNNNNNNNNNNNNNNNNNNNNNNNNNNNNNNNNNNNNNNNNNNNNNNNNNNNNNNNNNNNNNNNNNNNNNNNNNNNNNNNNNNNNNNNNNNNNNNNNNNNNNNNNNNNNNNNNNNNNNNNNNNNNNGCCGCCCCUGCCUCGACGCCGCCCCUCCUCCCCGUUCGGUCUGGCUCCGGCGACCCCCUUUCCUCCCUGUCCCCUCGAUCCUCUUCAUAUAAUUUGUUCAUAUAUUUUUUUUCAUAUAAUUUUUUUCAUAUGCAUAUGUUGAUUAUAUGGAUGGAUGGAUGAUGUAUAUGUUCAUUAUAUGGAUGGAUGGAUGAUGUAUGCUUUUUUUCAUAUAAUUUUUAGGCAGAUUUUUAGAAUUUUUUGUGUAUGUAUGUUAUGUUUAUAUGUAUGUAUGUAUGUAUGUUCAUAUGUAUGUAUGUUUAUAUGCAAAGCAUAUGCAAAGAAAAUGUAUGAAUGGUCAUAUGCAAAGAAAAAAUGUAUGUAUGGUCAUAUGCAAAGAAAAUGUAUGUAUGUAUGUUCAUAUGAAAGAAAAAUGUAUGGAUGUAUGUUCAUAUGCAUAUGCAAAGAAAAUGUAUGUUCAUAUAUAUGAUGAUAUGUUCAUAUAAAAAGGAAAAUAAGAAGAGGAAGAAAGGAGAAGAAGAGGAGAGGAAGAAGAGGAGAAAUAAAUAAGAAGAGGAAAAAAGAAGAAAAAGAAGAGGAGAAGAAGAAAGGAAUAGAAGAGAAGAAGAAAAAAUAGAAAAAAUUCUAUUUUUUCUUCUUCUCUCCUCUAUUCCUUUCUUCUUCUCCUCUUUUUUUUCUUCUUUUUUUUCUUCGAUCUUCUCCUCUAUUCCUUUUCUUCUUCUCCUCUUUUUNNNNNNNNNNNNNNNNNNNNNNNNNNNNNNNNNNNNNNNNNNNNNNNNNNNNNNNNNNNNNNNNNNNNNNNNNNNNNNNNNNNNNNNNNNNNNNNNNNNNNNNNNNNNNNNNNNNNNNNNNNNNNNNNNNNNNNNNNNNNNNNNNNNNNNNNNAUAUACCCCUCUCCCGAUAACUUCAACACGAGGGGGGGUCGAUAUACCCCCUCCCCGCCGAUAAUAUUAUUUUCCCAUGCACGUAUGUCGUCGUUGUCGAUAUAACCCCCUCCCGAUAACUUCAACACGUGGGGGGGGGUCGAUAUACCCCCUCCCCGAUAACAUUAUUUUCCCAUGUAUGUAUGUCGUCGUUGUCGAUAUAUAUAACUCCCUCCCAGAUAACUUCGACAUGAUGGACGGUCGAUAUUUAUACUCCCUCUCGACCGUGAUAACUUAUACCACGGGAGCACCCCCUAGCCCUCUCGCUCGACCAAAACUCUCGAGGACACCCAAACCCUAGAAAAAACUAUGUCGGUCUCCUACCCCCUCCCGCCGCGCCCCUACCCUUGAAGCGUUGCCUAGGCCACCCCAAACCCGGAAUAAGCUAGGUCUACGUUUGCACUAAUAUAUCCACCUGCUGUCAUGUUUGUGUAAUAAUUGCCAUGUUGUAAUAUUUGCAGAAACAAUGGAGCACGGACGAGAUGAGCAAGCAGAAGAGGUGUUGGGGGACAUAAUCUUAGCCGGAGGUGAUAUCUUGUCGUAUCUUAACGACAAUGAUGGUCUGGAAGAACAGGGUGAAGAAGCAGGCUACGGUGAUUGAAGAGUGGAGGAGGAAAGACAUGAUUAUGAUGGCUCCGGUGACCCAAUGCUGGUGCAAGAAGGAGCCCGUGGUGACGGCUCCGGUGACCGAACAGAGUCCGGCCAGGUAAAUAUAUUAGUUAAGCCUGUGCUGACUAGCUAAUUGAUGCAUUCAUUGUUUUGGUAUGUACAUAUAUUAAUUAACACUCGUCUUUCUUCUUUUUUCUAGCCCUCCGGAUCGAGCACAACUGCGGUAAAGAGACGAGGCCCGAAGAGAAAGUUGCGCUCGGAUGAAAGGUUUGAGAUCACAGCAAUCGCGCGCGACGGCCAACCGAUUGAACCCAUCCGGACAAAGGAUGCAUUUGCUGCUCAGUGCGGGAUUCUAGUUAGGGACAAGAUCCCGAUCAGCAUCCACCAAUGGUAUAAGCCUAAGAAGGAAGACCCUGAGGUGUCUUAUGUCAAUGAUAUGCAGAAAGAUGAUCUUUGGACUGAUCUGAAGGCAAAUUUCACCCUACCGCCAGAGGAGGAUUCGGAGAAGCCAGUUAUAGAGCAAUUAAUCAAGUCUCAUGCUCUUAAGAAGAUGGCAGACCUAUUCAGGAGGUGGAAGAAUGAGCUGAAAACGUUUGUCGACAAACAAGAGACACCAGAAUUCAUCGGCCGGUAUGAGAAGAUCAGAGAUCACUGGCCCGCAUUUGUGGCCCACAAGACAUCGGAAAAGAGUAAGAAGAUGUCAGCGACAAACAAGAAGAAUGCUGCGAAGAAGAAGCUUCACCAUCGCACGGGGUCAGGUGGCUACCUCAAAGCCCGACCUAAGUGGGCAAAGGCUGAGAAUGAUCUGCUUGAAAAAGGGAUCGAACCACAGACAAUGAACUGGACAGACUGUUGCCGGACUUGGUUCUUCGGGGCUGGCGGAACCUUGGACCCUGUAUCAGGGAGGUGUGUUUGGACGAACGAGCUUUUGAGAAUACUAGUCAAGAAGAUUCGGCAAUAUAUCGAUGCAGCGCAGGAAGGGACGUUCGUUCCAGACAGAGAGAACAACGAGCUCACAAUGGCCCUCGGGAAUCCUGAGCACCCUAGACGGACACGAGGCAUGCCAGGCUCCGUUCCGUGGAAGGCUGGUUUUCCGGACGCAGGCGGUUACAAAAGCCAGGAGAGGAGGAAAAAAGUGGAGCAGAUCCAAAUUCAGAAGCUGCACGAAAGGGUUCAAGCGCUAGAGGAACGAGACGGCAAUCGACAUGCCGAAACUGCCCCCGAAGCUACACCGCCAUCUCAGCGGAGAAGCAGCAUGGCUUCCACCGAGCUGCUUCAGCUGGAGCAUGCGGCUCCUGCUAGCUACCCCGUGGAUGCUAUCACGGAGUCUCAACAUUGCCACCUUAUGGCGGAAUGGCAGAACUUCAAAGUCAAGGCAGCGGUUGGCUCUGUUUUACCUCCUGAACCCGGCGCAACCUACCACUGCCGGCCGAUUCCAGAAGGAUAUGCUAGGGUGAUGGUUGAUGAAAUAACGGAGGGAUUUGAGGAGCUCCAGCUUGACCACCCUACCGGUGAAGGGGAGACUUGGCUGGGUUCUGCUCUGAAGACUCCAUGCCUAUGGCGGAAGGAGCUCAUCAAGCUUCCGAACUCGACGGCUCCGGCGAGUAAGGGCACUCCGCCUCCUCCUCCGCCUCCUCCUCCGGCGAGUGAUCAGGGCACUCAGCCUCCUUCUCCGGCGCGUGACGGCACUCCGCCUCCUUCUCCGCCAGCGCCGGCGCCCCAGAGCAGCCAGCCUCCUCCUUCUCCGCCUCGUCAGCAAGGGCGGAAGAGACCCGCCACCGCUGCGGCUGCUCCGGCGCGUCGUAGUCCUUCUCCUCCGCCUCGUAAGCAAGGAAAGAAGACAGUCGCAGCCGCUCCGUCUGCUCUGUCGGCGUCUAGCAGUACAGCUGCCAGAGGCGGGAGGCAAUACAGAUUCGGUCCUUCUCUGAAGACUCCAGAGAAGUUACCAUACGAUAGGACCGAGGAGGAAACCAGGAAGAUCGUGCGAGCCGAAGUGACAAACUUCUUUGAAGGGGUGAAUGCAAAGAAACAUCCACCUCCGGAGGAGAAGGUAGAUCCGGUGAAAGUAAAGCGCACUCUGGCUGCCUUGACAAAACCACCAAAGUCUCCGCCGAGAGGCCACUAUGAGCGCAUUCUUGCAAAGACAUAUGCCGAAGCGGAGCGGUCGGGAAGUACUGUUAGUGAUAAAAGGUUAAAAGAACGACGAGCUGGCAAAAAAAUUGCCCAGCUCGGCGAACAAGCGAACCAAUCGUGCCCCCCGCUCAAGGUGUCAAAAGACAUCGUCGCUAAUGAUCCGAGUAUGGUGCCCGGUUAUAGCAAUCUUGGAGAUUACCUGCCCGACGAUGUACAUUAUGAAAUCAUGGAGGUGGACGAACACAAAUACCAUUACGGGAAGCCUCUCGUCAAAGAUGAAAGAUCUCUAACAACGAUGAUGCGAAGACUACAUGAUUGGUACAUGAAAACCUGCAGAGAGUCUGAUGGGAUGGAUAAUUUGACGCUGAGAGUUAAACCGGAGCAUGACCUCAUUGGAAUUGAUCUGCUGAAUGUUCCAUUUGAGGAUUUCUUCCAGUUUUACAAUCAAAAGGCCCUCAAUAAAACAACGAUCACUUGCUACUGUCUGUAAGUAGUACUACUUCUGUCAUUAAGUCUCUCUAUAUAGGUCAGCUCUUUCAUUGCAUGUAUUUAUACUUAUCCUCACUAUAUUAUGCAGAUUGAAGAUCGCCGAAUUGAAGAAAAGACAAAUCGGUGAUAUUGGGUUCAUUAACACAAAUCUCAUAUAUGCAUAUACGGUUGAAAAACAUCCAAAGAAGCCGAGGCCAACUUGCUACAAUCGUUGGUAUUAAAUCAAAACAAAGAUAUAAUACUCUUUCCUUACAACUUCAAGUGAGUGUUACUGUCUUGUGCAUAUUCGGUUUCCCUUAUUAGUCCAGGUUAUGGUAAUGUAAUUGAUGACUUAUGCAUGCAUGCGCAGCUUCCACUAUAUUCUCCUAGAGAUUAAGCUUGAGCAGGGAGUAGUAACCGUCUUAGACUCGAGACGAAAAGAUCCCUAGGACUAUGAGAACAUGACUCAAAUGCUCGAGAAGUAAGUUAAAUCGAUCAUUAUCCACCAUAUCAGCAACUUUGUUCAUUUCAUAAUAUCAAGUAAUUGUUUUCUUUGUCUGGCAGGGUUUGGAGAAAAUUCACCUCAAAAGCUCCGGGACUGCCGAAGAAGCUGCAAUUUAAUCACCCGAAAGUAAGUACUAUAGUAGCAUGUUCCGCGCAUCUCCUAGUGAUUCAAGCGCUAGUUUCUUCAAUACCAUUUAGCAUGCUUGCUUAUCAAUUUGAUUGACCUCUAUUUCUUGUAAAGUGGUUGUGGCAGGAAACCGGGAAUAAUUACUGUGGAUACUACGUUUGCGAGUCCAUCCGCUACACGACCUGUGAGCGGGGCUACACUGAAGAACAAUAUGAAGUGCGUAAGCAAUAAUAUUCACAAUUUUAUUUUAUUACCAUCAUUUGUGUUGAGUUUCAUUUAUUCAUAUAUAUAUAUAUAUAUAUAUAUAUGUAUUGACCCCCUUCUUCAAAUUAGAUGUUUCGGAAGCGGGAUGAACUCCUAGCACCAGAUCGUAUGCGAGGAAUUCAAGAGGAAUUGGCGGCAUUCUUCCUUGACCACGUGAUCGCUGAAAACGGAGAAUACUAUGUGGACCUUGUGUUCCUACAAUUUAAUUAGGAGAUUGUAUUGUAAGAGAUAAUUAUUGUAUAUAUGUAGCCGGUAGUGUCGGAUAGAUAUACGAGAACUUGUUGUUCGACCAAUAUCUCGGAGAAGGAGAGGUGGUCGAUAUCACUUCUCUCUGUAUGCAUAUGUUCAUGACGAUCUUCUGUUUCCUUCAUUUGAUUACUAGCUAGCGUGUCUACUCCUCUCCAUACGUAUAUAGUAUGUAGCGUCGACCAAGCACGGAGAUAAGAGAGGACACUUCUCUCUAUUAAUUAGCUAGCUAACACAAUAUAUGAAACACCUAAAUUAACCCCCCAAAACCCCUAAACCACCCCCUUUCAAAAAAAACAAAAACCUCAGCUCCUGCCAGCUGCUGACGCGUGGAUGCCUAUUGGUCCCGGUUGGUGACACCAACCGGGACAAAAGGCCCUGCCUAUUGGUCCCGGUUGGUGCCGGCCCCCUGCCUGGGCUGGCAGCAGCGGCCACGUGGAGGACCUUCUGUCCCGGUUCGUGUAAGAACCGGGACUAAAGGGGGGAGGCAUUAGUAACGACCCUUUAGUCCCGGUUCGAGAACCGGGACAAAAGGCCCUUACAAACCGGGGUAAAAGCCCCUUUUCCUACUAGUGUUCCGGUAUUCGUUCAAUAUUUUGAUGAUAUGUAUGUUGUGAUUCUCUUAGUGGUGUCAUGUGAACGUCGACUACAUGACACUUCACCAUUGAUGGGCCUAAGGGAACUCAUUGUGGAGUAGUAAUUAGAUGAUGGGUUGCUAGAGUGACAGAAGCUUAAACCCCAGUUUAUGCACUAUUCCGUAAGGGGCUGAUUUGGAUCCACUAGUUUAAUGCUAUGGUUAGACUUUGUCUUAAUUCUUUUUUCUUAGUUGCGGAUAUCGGUGUCAAAACCGACAGAUCUCGGGUAGGGGGUCCCAAGUUGUGGGUCUAGGAUCAAUAGGUAACGGUGACGAUGAACACGGUGUUUUACCCAGGUUCGGGCCCUCUUGAUGGACAAUUUUUUUUAAAAAAAAAAUUUAGAAAUAUUUUUUUCAAUUUUUUUUUCAUUUUUUCUUAAUCUCGGGUCACUAUGGCUUAAUCUCGAGUCAAUAUGAUUAAUCUCAAGUCAAAUCGCACUAAGUGGUCAAACUUCCCGGAAGGUCACCCAUCCUCACACUACUCCAGCCCGAGCACGCUUAACUUCACAGUUCUAUCCAACCCCAGCACCACCUCACUCAACAGGCACUUGUUGAUAUAUCUACCAUAUCAAUCCUAUUAAACCUUGUUGAUGUCUAGGACUUUGUUCAUGUUCAUGAGUAUGAUAAAAUUUUGAAAAAUAUUUCAAACUUCCCGGUCAUAUCACGUAUCAUUUUUUGAAAAAAAAUUCCAAGAAAAAAUUCAACACCAAUUUUUUUUCUGUUACUAGUGGCGCACCUAGCAAACGGUGCGCCACUAGUAAGUUUGAAAUUUUUUGAAUUUUUUUGCCUCUAGAUCUUGAAAGCCCCGUAACUUUUUUUCUGUUAGGUUUUUGAGGAUUUUGAAAAUGUUUAACGGGGUUCCCCCGAUUAAAUUCGGAUGUAACUUUUCGAGUAGAUGAUUUUUCAUACAAAAAACUUUUUAAUCCGAGUUCGUAUGCAAAAGUUAUGCCCAUUUUACAAAUUCCAGAGAGAUUUUGCAAAUAAAGUUGAAAUUCAUAUUUGUAAAUUUUCCCAACAACUAGACCACAUAUCACAUGGGAAACUUAUUUUCUUUUAUUUUUUUAACAUUUCCAUUAUUUUCUUUUAUUUUUUUAAAACUGAAAAGGCGGUCCAUGAGGGGGUGCAUUCGGUGGAAUUUUUGGGUCAAGUUAGUAAUGGCGCACCGUGGGAGUGGUGCGCCAUUACUAGUUCAACUAGUAAUGGCGCAACACUCCCAUGGUGCGCCAUUACUAGUUUUGAAAAAAAAUAAAAAAAAUUUGAAAAAAAAUUUGAAUUUUUUUUACUAGUGGCGCACCGUGGAUGUGGUGCGCCAUUACUAGUUUAACUAGUAAUGGCGCACUAUCCCCUGGUGCGCCAUUACUAGUUUUGGAAAAAAAAUAAAAAAAUUUGAAAAAAAAAUUACUAGUGGCGCACCGUGGAUGUGGUGCGCCAUUACUAGUUUAACUAGUAAUGGCGCACUAUCCCCUGGUGCGCCAUUACUAGUUUUGAAAAAAAAUAAAAAAAAUGUUACUAGUGGCGCACAGUGGAUGUGGUGCGCCAUUAGUAUUUGGACACUAAUGGUGCGCCAUUAGUAUAUAGUAGUGGUGCACCACAUGUCUGGUGCGCCAUUAGUGUCCAUAUGAUCUAUAGCCCUUUUCCUAGUAGUGUUAGGGGUAUGAUCAGUAAUGUCAUAAUGAUGAUAAUAAUCUAUCGACUAGCCUGGCCUCGGCUUAUAUAAUGUACCAGAGGCCUAUGAUAACAAGACUCCUAGUUGGCUAUGUUGGUGGAGAGGAGUCCUUGUCUUGAUCAUCAAGUCUUGUGGAAUCUUCCCUGUAUAUGUCAUCGGUUGUCCGAACUGGCCCAUUAGUGAGGUCCUCGGCCCGACCCACUGGUCGGGAGACAACGUGGUGAGUACCCCCUAGUUCAGGACACCGUCAGCGGAUGCUUGCGAGAGGGGGUAAUCAUAAGUGGGAGGCUUGUUCAAGUAAGAACAACACCCAAGCACCGGUCCACCCACAUAUCAAAUCAUCAAAGUAGCGAAAGCGAACCGAAUGAACAUGAUGAAAGUGACUAGAUGAAAUUCCCGUGUGUCCUCAAGAACGCUUUUCUCAUUAUAAGUACUAGUUCUGGCCUGUCCUUUGCACUAAAAAGGAUUGGGAUAUCUUGCUGCACUUUAUUUACAUUUGUCACUUGCUACUCGUUACCAAUUAUCUUGCUAUCAGACUACUCGCUACCGCUUGUUUCAGUGUUUGCAAAAAUAUCGUUAUUGAAAACCGCAAGUCAUUUCCUUCUGCUGCUCGUUGGGUUCGACACUCUUACUUAUCGAAAGGACUAUGAUUGAUCCCCUAUACUUGUGUGUCAUCACGGGGCCACCCACCUGGGGUGCUCCCUCCCUAGCUUAUCACUCCCUCGAGACUCCUCGGGUCUUCCCCGAAGCUUCCAGGGUCUCUUUUGGUCCAGAAAACUUAAUCCAAUGUUUUUCUGUGUUUGUACCUUUUUUAUAAUGAUAUUAUAAAAUGAUAAAAACAAGCAAAAAAAUAACAACUGGCACUAGGCACUACGUUAAUAGGUUAGUCCCAAAAAAUGAUACAAAAAUAGCACAAAGUUGCAUAUAAAACAUCAAAGAUUGCUAAUAUAAUAGCACGAAACAAUAAAACAUUACAGAUAGGAGGCGUAUCAAGCAUCCCCAAGCUUAAUUCUUGCUCUUCCUCGAGUAGGUAAAUGAUAAAAACAAAAAAUUUGAUGUGGAAUGCUACCUAACAUGUUUCAUCAUGUAAUCUCUCUUACGGUAUGAAUAAUAAGAUCCGAAUGAUUCAAAGCAAUAGUCUAUAAUUUGAUAUAAAGACAUCAAUACUCAGGCAUACUAACAAACAAUCAUGCCUUUCAAAAUAACGAUGCUAACCCAAGUUAUCCCUACAAAAUCAUAUAAUCCUAUCAUGCUCCAUCUUCUUAACACAAAGUAUUUAUGAUGCACUACCCCAAUGACAAUCCAGGCAAUUGGUUCAUACUUCUUAACGUGCUUCAGCUUUUUCAACCCCCACGCAAUACAUGACGGCAAGCCAAGGACAUAACACUAUGGAUGGAAUAGAACAUGAUGAUAGAGAUCAAUAAGGGGAAAUCAAAAAUAAGAAGAUGGUCUCACAUCAAUGCGGCUAACAAACGGGCUAUAGAGAUGCCCAUCAAUUGAUGUCAAUGCAAGGAGUAGGGAUUGCCAUGCAACGAAUGCACUAAGAAGGCACCCAAGGUAAUAUCCAAGGAGACUCAAGCGUCGAAGCCUGGGGAUGCCCCGGAAGGCAUCCCCUCUUUCUUCUAAUGACUAUCGGUAACGCACUUGAGGCUACAUUUUUAUUCAUCACAUGAUAUGAGUUUUUCUUGGAGCGUCUUGUAUGAUAUGAGUCUUUGCUUUGUUUAUUUUUAGUAUAUCACAAUCAUCACCUCUGAACGCAUUUGCUUGAGAUAGCUUCAUGUCAUCAUGAUUUGCUUGAAUUGCCCUUUGUGCUUCACUUAAAUUUGUUGAGCUAGGUGGUUGCUCUAGUGCUUCAUUUAUAUCUUUUUUUAACACGGUGGUGCUUUUGUUUUGAAGAAACUUGUUCUCAUGCUUCACUUAUAUCUUUUUGAGAAUGCUAGAAAUUUUAUAAAAAUAUUAGUCUCAUGCUUCACUUAUAUCUUUUUGAGAGUUUGAAAUUAGUUAUGGUAAAAUGUACAGCUAUAAGCUUGGUCUCCAUAUGAUGAAUAUUCAAGAAGGAUAAUGAUAACUAGUAUAAAAAAUUUAUGGGACUUCAAAAACUUGAUUCUUUGCAACAAUUUUGAGAUAUGUAGAUGAUAAUACGUGAGUUAUGUUCAUGAAUAAUUAUACUCUAGUAUGAAUAUUGAUGUUAAGGUUUAUGAUUCCCUAUGCAAGCACGUAAAGUCAAUAGUUAUGCAAUGAAGUUACAUCCUACUUGUGGUGCAUUAUUCGGUGUUGGUUAUGUUUUCUGUAUGCAUGUGCAUCAUUACAAUUUCUUAGUUGGUCGCUUCUCAACCAUUUUGCUAGCCUCCAUUCGUACUAAGCGGGAAUACUGCUUGUGCAUCCAUUACCUUAAACUUGUUUUGCCAAUUGUGUCCAUCAUACCUACAUAUAUACGGUAUUUCAUUGCCGUCCCAAGUAAAUUUGCAUGUGCCAUCUCUAAUAAUUUUCAAAAUAAACUUCUCUUUUGUGUGCCUGUAUUGCUCAUGAAGUGAUAAGGGGUGGACGAUGAAUUCCGUGUUGUAUAUGUCAUUUUCAUGAUGAGUGUUUAUUCACUUGUCAUUGCACGAGAGUGUGGCGGUAAUAAAAGGGAUGCCCAGUCCCAAAAAUAAAUUGAAUUUCCUGGAAUAUGUUGUUAUGGAGGGCACCCGUGAAUACGGCUAGACAUGGAUUGUGAAAGGAAAGGUGGAAAAACUAACUCCUUCGGAUGUGAAUGGAAAAAAGGGACAAAAGUCUCAAAACCAUGGAACGAUGACAGGGAGCAAAAAAUUUCUUUUCAGUUUGGGAGCCGCCUAUGAUGUAUAUAACGUGGAAGGUAAGGAAAGCCUUGAGUCGCUGUCGUUGACGAGAAAACCAGGCCUCCCAAAAUAAAUUUUUUAUCUCUUUUUAAAACUUGAGGUCUGGCACCACUGUAAAUCAAUGCUUCCCUCUGCGAAGGUCGUUCUAUUUAUUUUUAUGUUGAGUCUCAUCCUUCUCAUUAAAAACCAACUAGGGGGUCAUGUGAUCAUGUGUGUGCAUGGAGUAUGAUUGACACUCGACUGUGUUUCAUAAAUCGAUCAAUGGUUGAGCAUAAUGGGCUAGGGAUAAUUUUCUUUAGCAUUGUUAUUUUGAAAGGCAUGGUUGCGUGUUAGCAUUGGAGGGGGUAUAUAUAGCCACAUCAUUGGUCCCGGUUCGUGGCUGGAACCGGGACUAAAGGCCACCCUUCUGUCCUGGUUCUAGGCACGAACCGGGACCAAUGGCUGUGGGCUAGGAGCGAGGACCAUUGGUCCCAUUCGUGCCUAGAACCGGGACAAAUGGGUCCACACGAACCGGGACAAAUGCCUCCCGAGGCCCGGCCGGCCCCCUGGGCGCACGAACCGGGACGUAUGACCCCCAUGGGUCCCGGUUCGUGACUGAACCGGGACUAAUGGGCUGGCCAGGCCCCAACCAAAGCCCUGUUUUCUACUAGUGAGGGGCGAUGCUCUGCGGAGUUCUCCCUCUUGGGGGCGUUGUCGUGGAGCUUAGGUGUGCUAGGUCGUAGCGUGAGCAUGUUUUGUUCUUCUGGUACUUGUUGUUGGUAGCGUAGAAGCAUGCGUUUUGCAUGUGCCGGAUAUCUCAGGAUCGACUUUGUAAGGGCUACCAAACCAUAUUGUAUCAUUUGACCAUGUACAUCUUUGGAUAUUGCUUUGUUUAUAAAGCGGGGAAAAGCCUAUUUCGAGAACAACGAAAACAACAACAACAACAGCAAACAGAUCAACAACUUCAGAAUAGUUUUUCUUUUAAAAUUUCACUUGCUUAAUUAACUACAUGCAUAGGACUUUCUACAGUGUUUUAGAGAACAACAACUACGAUUUGCCUGCUAGCUAGCUAGUUAGGUAUUUCAACACAACAUCAACAGCAAGGAGAAGGAGAAGAACUGUUAACAACCAGGCAGGCAGGUGGAGAGUGAGUGUGUGAGAGUGAGGUCUCUCUGGCUCUUUCCUGUAUGGCUACUCCUACUUCCUUCGCUGACAAAGUCCUGUUCUGAAUCCGUAAUACUGAUUCACAGUAAUGAUGGUGGAUCGACUAUACCUUGACUAAUCCAUGUACAACAAAAAUUACUACGUACAUGAUUAAAAAUCCAAGGGUCAAAUCCUGAUCAAUCGAUCUGGCAAAUUCUGCAUGAAUCUAGCAUGACAUCAAGUGUGAUUAACAGGAGUUUCAAUUAUAAUUAGCCUCCGAGAAGCUACAUGGAGGAGGAUGUAGUCGUGUUUUGUGGCCUUGUCAGAAACUUCGCUUUCCUUCAAUCUGAAAACAAGUGGUAGAGGGUAAAAGAAUGAAAAAAAACAUGUGUAGAGGAUAAGCAACACAUAAAGGCCACACACACAAAAACAGGGGUAUGCUAGCUGGUCCAUGACAUUGACAAGUCAAUUGAUUUGCUGCAACCAUAUAUAUGAAGUGUAGUAUUAUGAACAUGUGUGUGAAACUUGGUUCAAAUUGAUGUACUAUUAACUCGGGAGUAAGGAUUAAUGACAAUUUAAUAUUUCAAUGGAGAGCCACAUGAGUUGUGCAACCUUCUUAUCUGACAUGGAUCUACAUCAAACUAGGUGUUAAUGUUCUCCACAAACUCCAUGUCAGAUUUCAUUGUUCAUUUAUAGUGAGAAUAAUUGAUUACUUAUGCACUUUUCGCCUUUGAUGUUCCACUCACAAAAUAAGUUUAACUACCAACUAUCUCCAAAAACAAUCUUAGCGGGACAAAAAGUAUCCUCUGACAAAUCACGACCCAUCAAACAAGGUUCAAAUUUGAAGGAAAAUGACCCCUUCAACUUGAGUCAAACAAAUAAUUUGCAUACAAUCAACCGAAAUCAUUAUGGGCUUCUUCAGCCCUCCACUCGAUACACACCUACGCAGGGAGUCCACCAUUGUCGCUACCGAACAACAUUUUUGGAGGCGCACAUUAUCACCCAUAAACACAAAAUAAAUCAAAACGCAAUACAAGCCUAAAAGCGGUCAGUUCCUAGGGCCAGAAAAAGCUUGUUGACCUGCAAUUGCACAUGGUUUAUUUUUCACCUAUUUAAGUAUGAGUAUAAAUCCCACAGGGAAUACAUGAAUUGGACUUUGUCCCUAAGAGACACUUAUGGUAAUGUGCCUGCAUAUUAGUUUUCGACACAAAGCAAAGUGAACGCCAAAGAUUAUAAUGACUUUUGAGUUUAGUGCGAACAAAAGUAAAUAAUGCAAAAGAAUUAAAAGAGUGCAGCGGAACGAAUAAAGCAGGGAAACCGGUGGAGGAUUGAAGCAUUCUCAAGGACUCCAUAAUUCCCAUUGCAGUGUGUCUAAGGUAACAUAUGCCACUUCAUAAUUCUAAGCUAGAUACUUGAGUCACUCUUGAAAUUUGUUAUUGGGCGUAUCUGGGUACAAAAUACGUUCUACUCGAGGUGUACUCCGUACCACGAAGGCCACCACGGAAGCUUCCCCACUCUGGUUCUCACUGCGGUAAUUAAGGGUUUCCCCGUGGAAGCGGCCUUAUCAAGGGUUCUCCGUUAUGCCCCUAUCAGUUGCAAAGGCGAGGUAGAGAGUCUUUUACACUCACCUUGAAUUACCUCAACAUCCUAACCUUUACAACCAUGGUAAUAUGCCUCGUGUCCUUGCGACAGAAAUGGUGAGUGGGGCACCUUCACAAAAUUCAUGAAGGCUAUUGAAAAAACAUUCAACAGAGAAUAUCACAUCCUUAUUAACAUUUCAGCCUCCUAUACAUACCAUGGUUCAUCCAUAUCCCUGAGAACUGAGGAAACUACUCACACGUUGAGACAUGGAUGAAACAUCGGAUAAUACAUGUAUGGAUCGUACGAAUAGUGGAUAUAGCGGUGGUAAACAUGGUUUAAACACACGGAUAAUACAUGUAUGGAUCCACAAGGUUUUGGUAUUACAAUGGGAAGGAGAUGGAUGAUGCUGACGUCCCCUUGCACGAGCUGGUGGUGAUAGUGAUCUCCUCCUUUCCUUAAAUCUGCAAGCACAUUUAAAACAACAUCUUGGAGAGAACAGGAAAAAAGAAUUGUGCAGACGCGGUAAAAGCUAGCAAAUUUUACUGUGUAGGCGGGCUUGUGAUGGCUGUGGCAGUGUGGAUCUGACUACCGAGUUGUGACAAGCUGUGUGGGGCGAUGGUGGCGGUCCUCCCUCUUCUGAGCGUGAUAGCUGGCGACGGUGGGUUUCGACAGUCCCUCUCACGGGUGUGGAGGCGGGUCAAGGGGCGGUGAGUGUUGGCCGUGGUUUAGGCUGGCACUGGCGGAUCUGGGCAGGGGGAUUCAAUGGAGAGGCGGGGCUGGCAUUGGUGCGACUUCUCAGCGAGUAGAGUUGCCGGCUGUUCGGAGCGCCCCCACACAAGUUUUAGUGCUUAGUCGCCUUGGAUUAGGGUUUUUUGACUCUGGGUCGUUGUCGGUCAAGCCAAGGUGAAUGCUUGCAGCUCGGUUGGGGGAGGCACCUCCACACAUUGUAGUGUCGGUGAUGAUUGGUAGAUGUGGUGGUCAGGGCUAUGAUAUGCCGGCUGGUGGACCAGUGCCACAGUUCGCAGACUUGGCAUCUACGCACUGAUGCCAGGCUUUACUUGCUGCGAUUUGUGCAUUGUGAAGCGAGCGGGUCUAGGUGGUGCUCAGUGGUGAUGGUUGUGUUAGCAUUGCAUUCGUGCGCGGAUCAGUGCCGGUGAUCGCAAACAUGGCGUGGUGCGAGCUCGCCUGGCCAAGGGCUCGGUGCUGGCUCGCCGGCGGUCCCCCUACUCCACCGACCAUUGGCUGGGGAUGCAGGUGUGGGUGCGUCCUACGGUGGAGGUGCCCAACCAAACUCUUGGACCGAGUCUGGGCUAGGAGUAGAUGGAGUGUUGUCGCUCUUCCUACCAUGGUUGGCUACGUUGUCAUGUGAGCGGCGUAUGGUAUUUCGCGACAAGGAUGCCGGGUUGGCGGCCCCUGAUGGCGGGCCGCAUGAUUGCUCUUUGGCAGGCAUUAUUUCGUUGGUGGUGGCUCCCCUCCUGGGUUGUGGGGGCAACGGGAGGUGUUGCGGUUAGUAGCUCAGACGUGCCCUCUCUCUAGGAGGGGCAGUGUCCUGAUCAAGAUCUGGGGAUCUAACAUCAACGCGCUAGUCCUGAGGACCUCGUGGUGGCACAGGUGAGUUCUCGAGCAAAAGCUCCGUGCCUUGGCGUCGCCGCCAACGACACUCAUGGGUGCCGCACUCUUCUUGAAGACGUCGUUGUGGUUCUUCUCUCCGUGUCAGGGCUCCGGGUGUAGACCUUUGUCUGGUGUGGACUCAGCAGGGGCGACGCUGUGCAGAGUUCUCCCUCUUGGGGCCGUUGUCGUGGAGCUUAGGUGUGCUAGGUCGUAGCGUGAGGAUGUUUUGUUCUUCCGGUGCUUGUUGCCGGUAGCGUAGAAGCGUGCGUUUUGCAUGUGCCGAACAACUCAGGACCGACUUUGUAAGGUCUACGUGACCAUAUUGUAUCAUUUGGCCGUGUGCAUCUUUGGAUGUUGCUUUGUUUAUAAAGCGGGGCAAAAGCCUAUUUCGACAACAACGAAAACAACAGCAACAACAAACAAAUCAACAACUUCAGAAUAGUUUAUCUUUUAAAAUUUCACUUGCUUAAUUAACAACAUGCAUAGGACUUUCUAAAGUGUUUUAGAGAAGGACAACUACGAUUUGCUAGCUAGCUAGUUAGGUAUUUCAACACACCAUUAACAGCAAGGAGAAGGAGAAGAACUGUUAACUGCCAGGCAGGCAGGUGGAGAGUGGGUGUGUGAGAGUAAGUCUCUCUGGCUUUUUCCUGUAUGGCUACUCCUACUUCCAUCGCUGACAAAGACCUGUUCUGAAUCUGUAAUACUGAUUCACAGUAAUGAUGGUGGAUCGACUAUAUCUUGACUAAUCCAUGUACAACGAAAAUUACUACGUACAUGAUUAAAAAUCCAAGGGUCAAAUCCUGCUCAAUCGAUCCGGCAAAUUCUGCACGAAUCUAGCAUGACAUCAUGUGUGAUUAACAGGAGUUUCAAUUAUAAUUAGCCUCCGAGAAGCUACAUGGAGGAGGAUGUUGUCGUGUUUUUGGCCUUGUCAGAAACUUCGCUUUCCAUCAAUCUGAAAACAAGUGGUAGAGGGCAAAAAAAAAUAAAAAAACAUGUGUAGAGGAUACCGCAACACAUAAAGCCACACACACAAAAACAGCAGUAUGCUAGCUGGUCCAUGACAUUGACAAAUCAAUUGAUUUGCUGCAACCAUAUGUACGAAUAAUAUCGCCAAGGAUAAGAGAAGGAGAAAAAAAUAUAAAUAUACCGAUAGGCUCUUCUUUUGUUCAUGGAUGCAUGUUGCAUGAGCCAAGUGUAUUGGCAGUAUGGCUUGUGUUUGCUGCAUGAUGGCGGCAGGUUCCCAUUCAGUUAGGCAUGCUAAGUCCUAAAUUCAUUUAUUCACGUAUCGGGUAGAAGGAGAACAAAUUUCAUUUCUUUUCUGUAGGUUCCUUGCUUAAAAGAAAAUAGAAAAAAAGACACUUCUAUAAUUACCAGAAAAAAUCAACUGUAUGUCGCUCAGUCUUCCCUUUUUGUUCGGUAUCAGUACCAACAAUCAUAGUACUAAUAGCUUUCUAUACUGGCGGUAGUAAAUUCAAUAAAAGAAACCUGGAGACUAUCUGAACAAUUUGAAACAAUAUGUACAAACUGAGAUCAACUAACGACAGAAAUCCAAAAGAAAUGUUCAUGUCUACGUGGAGUGAAUCGAUCAAGCCGUGCAAAGCCCUAACAAUUCGUUUUGUAUUAAUAACUCAUAUGACAAUACAACCGCUCCAUAUGAAAAGGUAAUAUGAUGAUUCAUGAAUGCUUAUCCAUCUUAUAAAUAUAUUGUGCAAAAAAUAUCGAGUUAGUUCAGAGAAAACGAUGUCUAGAACAAUCUUCACAUUAAUAGUGUGAUCUAUCUCAAUGACUCACACAAGAUUACAUAGUUUGUUCCCUUAAGUAUGGCAAUCUGGAUACGCCUAACAAUAUGUAGAACAUGACAAACUAAAUCAGAACAAGGGACAAAAUCCAGAUCAAUGUUUGAAGUGUAAAGUGAAUACGAUGAGUCAUUUGUCGUUAUCAAGCAUUCCAUACACCUAGAUGAUAUGUGCAAGAACAAUCAACUAUGACGAACAAUCCAAAAUCAUGAUAGUAAGUAGUACCAUAAAACACGACAUACCAAAUUAUUGUAAAUGAUAAGCUUAAGAGCACUUUUUCAAGAAGCACGUGUGAAGAUUACAAACUUAGUUCCCUUAAGUUAUGCCAAUCUGGAUACACCUAACAACAUGUAGAACAUGACAAACUAAAUCGGAAAGACGGACAAAAUCUAGAUCAAUGUUUGAAGUGUAAAGUGAAUACGAUGAGUCAUUCGUCAUGAUCAAGCAUUCGAUACAGCCAGAUGAUAUGUGCAAGAACAAUCAACUAUGAUGAACAAUCGAAAAUCAUGCUAGGAAGUAGUGCCACCAAACACAACAUACCAAAUUAUUAGGUCGAUAGUCUUAAGUGCACUUUUUCAAGAAAGGAGUGGGAAGAUGAAAACAAAAUAUGUCAUGCCUGCUAUAAUUACGACUACACCAUGUGGGUCUCUUCCAUCAUCUAACCUUCAAGAACCUAGAGCAAAAACACCAAAGCCAAGUGAGCAAUAGUAAACACAAAUCAAACAUGAAGACCUUCAUCAUAUUUGUCCUCCUUGCUAUGGUGAUGAGCAUCGCCAGUGCCACUAGGCAACUAAGCCCUAGAGGCAAGGAGUUGCAAACACCACAAGAACAAUUCCCCCAACAGCAAUUCCCUCAACCACAACAAAUCCUCCAACAACAAUUCCCCCAACAACAACAAAUCCCCCAGCAACCGCAACAAUUCCCCCAACAGCAAAUCCCACAACAGCAAAUCCCGCAACAACAAUUCCCCCAACCACNNNNNNNNNNNNNNNNNNNNNNNNNNNNNNNNNNNNNNNNNNNNNNNNNNNNNNNNNNNNNNNNNNNNNNNNNNNNNNNNNNNNNNNNNNNNNNNNNNNNNNNNNNNNNNNNNNNNNNNNNNNNNNNNNNNNNNNNNNNNNNNNNNNNNNNNNNNNNNNNNNNNNNNNNNNNNNNNNNNNNNNNNNNNNNNNNNNNNNNNNNNNNNNNNNNNNNNNNNNNNNNNNNNNNNNNNNNNNNNNNNNNNNNNNNNNNNNNNNNNNNNNNNNNNNNNNNNNNNNNNNNNNNNNNNNNNNNNNNNNNNNNNNNNNNNNNNNNNNNNNNNNNNNNNNNNNNNNNNNNNNNNNNNNNNNNNNNNNNNNNNNNNNNNNNNNNNNNNNNNNNNNNNNNNNNNNNNNNNNNNNNNNNNNNNNNNNNNNNNNNNNNNNNNNNNNNNNNNNNNNNNNNNNNNNNNNNNNNNNNNNNNNNNNNNNNNNNNNNNNNNNNNNNNNNNNNNNNNNNNNNNNNNNNNNNNNNNNNNNNNNNNNNNNNNNNNNNNNNNNNNNNNNNNNNNNNNNNNNNNNNNNNNNNNNNNNNNNNNNNNNNNNNNNNNNNNNNNNNNNNNNNNNNNNNNNNNNNNAACAACAAUUCCCCCAACAACAAUUCCCCCAGCAACCACAACAACAAUUCCCCCAACAACAAUUUCCCAUACCAUACCCACCCCAACAACAAUCACAAGAAGCUUCCCCAUACCAACAAUACCACAACAACACCUAUCUGGGAACGACGUUAUAAGUAUCAGUGGCCGAUGAAAUAAAGAGAUGUACUACUAGACAGGUGAAUCAUCGUUGUUAGUCAAUGGAGCAUAAUGUAACGGGUAUAAAUAAAAUGAUGUGCACCAUCAUGUGUAACCCCGACAUGUACUAGUUCAAACAUGGGAAUAAAAGACAAAUAAGUUCUUUUCUGAAGCACAUUGCUGGCAAUCGUUAUAUUCAUGCCAUAUUUCGAUUUCCAUCGGUAACUCCAAUCUCAAUGUUAUGGUCUAUCUACUUAUUUAUGAAGUGUAGUAUUAUGAACAUAACAUAAUUAACAUGUCUGAAAAUUGGCUCAAAUUGAAGUACUACUAAUUCAAGAGUAAGGAGUAAUUACAAUUUAACAUUUCAAUGGAGAGCUCUAAUUGUAGACUGCGUUGUUAAUUCCCCGAAGAGGAAAGGAUGAUGUAGUAUAGUAGAGAUAAGUGUUUCCCUCAGCUAAGAACCAAGGUUAUCAAUCCAGUAGGAGAACCGCACAAAACCUCGUUAGCAGCACCUGCACACACAAAAGCAAACACUUGCACCGAACGCAAAUAAGAGGGUUGUCAAUCCUCUUAGCGAUUAUUUGCAAGGAUUAGUUCUGACAGUGAUACAUAGAUAAAAUAAAUUACUAAAUAAAAUAAAAAUAAAUAAAUUGCAGCAAUGUAUUUUUGUGCUUUUAUAUAUGAUAAAAGUAGACCCGGGGGGGGCAUAGUUUUCACUAGAGGAUUCUCUCUUGAUCAUAAAACAUAUGGUGGGUAAACACAUUACUGUUGGGCAAGCUAUUAUAUACUAAAAGGAAAAUACUGGUCCAAAAUAGAGAAUAGGCUAGAAAAUCUGGCGUUAAUUAGAAAAUAUGAACCCUUGAUCCGUUUAAUUUUAAAAAUUAUAAAUCUAUGACCGUUCAAUAUACGUAACAAGGUCGGGCGUGGAUAACUUCCCGCGUAACGUGACACAUGUAAGAAACACAAACAUGAGUCCAGUUAAGGCAAACACGUAGAUGUGUUGAAGUGGGAAUGAAUAGAAUUGCUACGUCCGAAUAUGCAAGAGAUAGAAAAGAUGAAGAAAACUAAAGAACAUGUCGUGUUCAGAUUGGACUAAACGUAUGUGCGUAUACAACCACAACCACAAUCCGAAAGAUCCAGCCAUUAAUCCCGUGGGUCCAUCCAAAACAAAAGGUGGAUAUCCAUCUAAUUGCCCCACGUCCAUGGAACAUACUUAUUAGAGUCCACAAACAGUAGCCGCUGGUCUCUUUUACGUGAUCCUCCUUGCACUGUUAGGACUUUGCCGUCGGACAUCCUUAAGUUCUUGUGAAGUUCACAUCUAAAAAUACUAUCAUAGUAAAAAAAUCCAUUUCAUACUCCAAGAAAGAUAUCACCAUCCCAAAGUUUCAAUUGCAAUCUAAGUUUUGCCACAACUGGGUAUUUAAAACUUAUUUUACCACAGCUCGGCAAUUUCAGCCACUAAGGUUUUUGUGGCAGAUGAAGCAUCUUCCCAUUGGAAACUCCCAACUGUAAAAAGACUAGCAAAUUAGCAAUCAUUGGCAAAUCAGCAAUCUUAUAGCGGCAGCAGCUCCCAUCAAUCAGGUAACUCAUCUUCCAAAAAUCAGAGACAAUAAGCAACCAUACACAUCAUGCACAUAUGAUAUUAACAUAAUUACAUAUGUGAUUUCUGUGUUGAAUUUCGUACAACAUUACCAUGAAGAGAAGCGCAUCCACAUGGCAAGUAAUUUCCAAAAGCCGCCAAAAAGGUGAAAAGCAAUCAAAUAUGCAAUCCAACAAGUUAAUUAUUAAGCUAUAGACCAUGCAUGUUUCAGUGGUGCAUACAAGAUCAGUAGAACAAAUUCCUAGCCGUUACGACAUUCAUCAGGGAGGCGAGGACUAUGAAGCGACGGGUUGCGAGCUGGAGGGAAUGGCGGCGCACCCCGUGUCUCAGCCGAGAGAGGAGAGGCCGGGGAUAGAAUUAAGAGAGACACGAGUGAUGUCAGAUGAUAGGCUAGGGAUCGUUGGGCGUUCUCACAUAUUGCGUGGAGGAGGUUAGCUAAAUGGGCCAGCACAAAGGCCCAGUCAACCGCAGGUGGCAGAGUUUUCUCCCAGUGCAGCAGCCCUUUAGGACAGUUGAGCCAAGAAAUAUAGUUACAAAAUUAGGAAUUCAUCCAACAGUCAGAAAUGAUCUAUACAAGUGAUCUGAUAGUUACAAAUGUUGAAUGCUUGAGAGAGCUGGGAUAAGGCUAAGUUUUACUGUCCUAAAUGUAUUAGAUAUGUAGAAUCUGACAGUUAUUAAAGUUUAAUUGUCCUUCAGAAAAAACUAUGGCUAAUCACCACUACGCUAAUUACUUUUUACAAUUGUUGUACAUGAAUGGGGGUUAGGCAAGCGUAACACUGCUGAUGAGGGUCCCAAACCCGAUAAAGGUGGAGGGUGCAUAAUCAAAUUAACAUCUAACACUAACAUGCAAUACCUUUUAAGUUCAUAUAUUGAUUCAAUCGCAAAAGGGAAAAAUGAAACAAAAGUAGGCAGCGGGACCUGGAAGUCAACAGAGGAAACAGAAGGGUAUGCUCAUCGUGUGGAAUCGUUUGUGGGGGGCGAGCUGAGUAAACAGAGGAAGGUGAUCGAACGACGUCUCAGGUUUAUUUGUUUACUGAACAGACAGACAUGUGUAAGUUUUUUUUCCCUUUGAGGGGAAAGACGUGUGUAACUAGGGAGGGAUGAUUUUGCACGUUCUGUAUUUUUUUCCACCAGAAAACAGAUACUACUUUAACAAAUAAAUCCUACACUAAAUAUUUUAUAUGCUGCAAAUUAUAGGCCACAUACGCAUGAGCCUAAAUUAUAGGCGACUAUUUCAUAGGGUGAAAGUAAACAAAAUAGAAAAUCUUAUAGGCGACAUGAGCAUGAACCUAAAUUAUAUAUUUUAUAUGCUGCAAAUUAUUUUAAAAACAUGUGAAAAUAUAGUGCAUGAUCAUCAGACCAAAAACUCUAGCCUGUACAAAACACUCAUAUUUAGACGUAUAUUUCAUAUGGAGCUGCCAAUUCAUAUCAAUCCGGCACUACAACAGUAACACUAUCGUGCAGCCGCUUAAGUCAAAUCUAAAGUUAAAGCUAAUCAACACAAAAUAUCCAAUGUAAAAGGAAUUACUUAUACUAAAAAUAUAAAAUAUACCUAAGAGUGCGAAAGAUGACGAAUAUUUACUAUAAGAGUGCUAGCCCUCGCAUUUGCGAGGGCCACCUUGCUAGUUGAUAAAAAACAAAUAAUUAUGAUGGAUUCAUGGCAAUGAUCAUGUAUAUAGGCAUCACGUUCGAGACAAGUAGACCGACUCCCGUCUGCAUCUACUACUAUUACUCCACCCAUCGACCGCUAUCCAGCAUGCAUCCAGAGUAUUAGGUAUAAAACAGAGUGACGCCUUAAGUACGAUGACAUGAUAUAGAUAAAGUAAAUUCAAGAAAUAUGAUUAAACCCCAUCUUUUUAUCCUUAAUUGUCAGCCCAUUGGCUGUUAUUUUCCCCGAUCUGACCAUCCGUGACGCUCCUGUUGUUCGCAACGCUACCGCUACGACUGCGGGAGCAUGUCAUUUUCGUUAUACAUGUAACCCAAAAAUAUCUCUAACAUUAAUGACAACAAUACAAAUACGUGUUAUGUCCCUUUUUGUCACUGGGAUUGAGCAAUGCAAGAUUGAAUCCAUCACAAAGCACCUCUCCCCAUUGCAAGAUAAACCAAUCUAGUUGGCCAAACCAAAUCGAUAGAUCAGGGAGAAAUAUAAAGCUAAAAUAAUCACGCAUAAAAGAGCUCAGAGAAGACUCAAAUAUUUCUCAUGAAUCAUAUGAUCAUAAACUCACGAUUCAUUGGAUCCCAACAAACACACCGGAAAAGAAGAUUACAUCGGAUAGAAAUCCAAGAACAUCGGGGAUAACUUUGUAUUGAAUAUCAAAGAGAGAGAAGAAGCCAUUUAGCUACUGGCUAUGGACCCAUAGGUGUGUGGUAAAAUACUCACACAUCAUCGGAAGGGCAGCAUGGUUUAUGUGGAAGCCCUUCGUGAUCGAUUCCCCCUCCGGCAGAGUACUGGAAAAGGCCUCCCGACGGGAUCGCGGAAAAACAGAGGCUUGCGGCGGAGAAAAAGUUUUCUCAUCUAUCUCUCUGGUGGUUAUGGAAUAUUUGUGAUUUAUAGUGGAAGAAUUAGGUCAGGAGGUGCCACGAGGGGGCCAUAAGCCUAGGGGCGCGGUGAUACGUCCAUUUUGCAUCAUGUUUUAUUACAGUUAUUUAUUAAGUUUUGAGCUAAUAUAACACUUCAUGGAGUAUUUCUAAUGCAUUUUCUCUCUUAAUAUGCAAGGUUUACACAAAGAGGGAGAAUACCGGCAGCUGGAUUUCAGGGCCUGAAAAAGCUACAUCAGAGAUCCCUAUUCUGCACAUCUCCAAAUGGGCUGAAAAUUCACGAAGAUUUAUUUUAGAAUAUAAAAAAAUACUGGGCCAAAGAUCCACGGGAGGAGGCCACCCAGGUGCCCACACAGCAAUAGGGCGCGCCCCACCCCUAGGGCGCGCCCUGAUGCUGUAUGAGGCCCCUGGCCCAAUUCAGGCCCCCUCCUUCUGGUAUAUAAGUCAUUUUACCAUAAAAUAUUUAUGGGGAGACUUUCAGGACGAGGCGCCGCUGCCACGAGGCGGAACUAGAGCAGGAGAAAUUUGGCUCUCCGGCGUGCAGAUUCCGCCGGGGAUACUUCCCUCCGGGUGGUGGAAAUCGAAGCUUACGUCAUCACUAACAACCCUCUCAUCGUGGGAGGACCAAUCUUCAUCAUCAUAAACCACAACACCAUCUCAUCUCUAUCCCUAGUUCAUAUCUUGUAUUCGAUCUCUGUGUCAAAACAUUAGAUUGGUACUUGUGUUUGACUAGUAGUGUUGAUUACUUAUCGUAGUUGAUGCUAGUGGAUUUGUUUGGUGAAUUACCAAAUGUUCUGAUCGUGCAUCCAAAUUAUAUUCUCUCUGAUCAUGAACAUGAUGAUGAUGUGUGAGUAGUUACUUUUAUUCUUGAGGACAUGGGAGAAGUCUUGUCAUUAGUAAUCAUGUGAUUCCGGUAUUCGUUCAAUAUUUUGAUGAUAUGUAUGUUGUGAUUCUCUUAGUGGUGUCAUAUGAACGUCGACUACAUGACACUUCACCAUUGAUGGGCCUAAGGGAACUCAUUGUGGAGUAGUAAUUAGAUGAUGGGUUGCUAGAGUGACAGAAGCUUAAACCCCAGUUUAUGCACUAUUCCGUAAGGGGCUGAUUUGGAUCCACUAGUUUAAUGCUAUGGUUAGACUUUGUCUUAAUUCUUUUUUCUUAGUUGCGGAUGUCGGUGUCAAAACCGACAGAUCUCGGGUAGGGGGUCCCAAGCUGUGGGUCUAGGAUCAAUAGGUAACAGUGACGAUGAACACGGUGUUUUACCCAGGUUCGGGCCCUCUGGAUGGAGGUAAAACCCUAUGUCCUGCUCUUGUUUGUAUUGAUGAAGUAUCAAGGUACAGAGUUGAUCUACCUCGAGAUCAUAUGUUCUGGUCUAAACCCUAGGGGUAUGAUCAGUAAUGUCAUAAUGAUGAUAAUAAUCUAUCGACUAGCCUGGCCUCGGCUUAUAUAAUGUACCAGAGGCCUAGGAUAACAAGACACCUAGUUAGCUAUGUUGGUGGAGAGGAGUCCUUGUCUUGGUCACCAAGUCUUGUGGAAUCUUUCCUGUAUAUGUCAUCGGUUGUCCGAACUGGCCCAUUAGUGAGGUCCUCGGUCCGACCCACUGGUCGGGAGACAACGUGGUGAGUACCCCCUAGUCCAGGACACCGUCAGCGGAUGCUUGCGAGAGGGGGUAAUCAUAAGUGGGAGGCUUGUUCAAGUAAGAACAGCACCCAAGCACCGGUCCACCCACAUAUCAAAUCAUCAAAGUAGCGAAAGCGAAUCGAAUGAACAUGAUGAAAGUGACUAGAUGAAAUUCCCGUGUGUCCUCAAGAACGCUUUUCUCAUUAUAAGUACUAGUUCUGGCCUGUCCUUUGCACUAAAAAGGAUUGGGAUAUCUUGCUGCACUUUAUUUACAUUUGUCACUUGCUACUCGUUACCAAUUAUCUUGCUAUCAGACUACUCGCUACCGCUUGUUUCAGUGUUUGCAAAAAUAUCGUUAUUGAAAACCGCAAGUCAUUUCCUUUUUCUUCUCGUUGGGUUCGACACUCUUACUUAUCGAAAGGACUAUGAUUGAUCCCCUAUACUUGUGGGUCAUCACGCGGCCACCCACCUGGGGCGCUCCGUCCCUAGCUUAUCACUCCCUCGAGACUCCUCGGGUCUUCCCCGAAGCUUCCAGGGUCUCUUUUGGUCCAGAAAACUUAAUCCAAUGUUUUUCUGUGUUUGUACCUUUUUUAUAAUGAUAUUAUAAAAUGAUAAAAACAAGCAAAAAAUAACAACUGGCACUAGGCACUACGUUAAUAGGUUAGUCCCAAAAAAUGAUACAAAAAUAGCAAAAAGUUGCAUAUAAAACAUCCAAGAAUGAUAAUAUAAUGGCACGAAACAAUAAAACAUUACAGAUAGGAGGCGUAUCAAGCAUCCCCAAGCUUAUUUCUUGCUCGUCCUCGAGUAGGUAAAUGAUAAAAACAAAAUUUUUGAUGUGGAAUGCUACCUAACAUGUUUCAUCAUGUAAUCUCUCUUACGGUAUGAAUAAUAAGAUCCGAAUGAUUCAAAGCAAUAGUCUAUAAUUUGAUAUAAAGACAUCAAUACUCAGGCAUACUAACAAACAAUCAUGCCUUUCAAAAUAACGAUGCUAACCCAAGUUAUCCCUACAAAAUCAUAUAAUCCUAUCAUGCUCCAUCUUCUUAACACAAAGUAUUUAUGAUGCACUACCCCAAUGACAAUCCAGGCAAUUGGUUCAUACUUCUUAACGUGCUUCAGCUUCAACCCCCGCGCAAUACAUGAUGGCAAGCCAAGGACAUAACACUAUGGAUGGAAUAGAACAUGAUGAUAGAGAUCAAUAAGGGGAAAUCCAAAAUAAGAAGAUAGUCUCACAUCAAUGCGGCUAACAAACGGGCUAUAGAGAUGCCCAAAAAUUGAUGUCAAUGCAAGGAGUAGGGAUUCCCAUGCAACGGAUGCACUAAGAAGGCACCCAAGGUAAUAUCCAAGGAGACUCCAGCGUCGAAGCUUGGGGAUGCCCCGGAAGGCAUCCCCUCUUAAUUCUAAUGACUAUCAGUAACGCACUUGAGGCAACAUUUUUACUCAUCACAUGAUAUGAGUUUUUCUUGGAGCGUCUUGUAUGAUAUGAGUCUUUGCUUUGUUUAUUUUUAGUUUAUCACAAUCAUCACCUCUGAACGCAUUUGCUUGAGAUAGCUUCACGUCAUCAUGAUUUACUUGAAUUGCCCUUUGUGCUUCACUUAAAUUUGUUGAGCUAGGUGGUUGCUCUAGUGCUUCAUUUAUAUCUUUUUUAACACGGUGGUGCUUUUGUUUUGAAGAAACUUGUUCUCAUGCUUCACUUAUAUCUUUUUGAGAAUGCUAGAAAUUUUAUAAAAAUAUUAGUCUCAUGCUUCACUUAUAUCUUUUUGAGAGUUCGAAAUUAGUUAUGGUAAAAUGUACAAGCUAUAAGCUUGGUCUCCAUAUGAUGAAUAUUCAAGAAGGAUAAUGAUAACUAGUAUAAAAAAUUUAUGGGACAUGAAUAACUUGAUUCUUUGCAACAAUUUUGAGAUAUGUAGAUGAUAAUACGUGAGUUAUGUUCAUGAAUAAUUAUACUCUAGUAUGAAUAUUGAUGUUAAGGUUUAUGAUUCCCUAUGCAAGCACGUAAAGUCAAUAGUUAUGCAAUGAAGUUACAUCCUACUUGUGGUGCAUUAUUCGGUGUUGGUUAUGUUUUAUGUAUGCAUGUGCAUCAUUACAGUUUCUUAGUUGGUCGCUUCUCAACCAUUUUGCUAGCCUCCAUUCGUACUAAGCGGGAAUACUGCUUGUGCAUCCAUUACCUUAAACUUGUUUUGCCAAUUGUGUCCAUCAUACCUACAUAUAUACGGUAUUUCAUUGCCGUCCCAAGUAAAUUUGCAUGUGCCAUCUCUAAUAAUUUUCAAAAUAAACUUCUCUUUUGUGUGCCUGUGUUGCUCAUGAAGUGAUAAGGGGUGGACGAUGAAUUUCGUGUUGUAUAUGUCAUUUUCAUGAUGAGUGUUUAUUCACUUGUCAUUGCACGAGAGUGUGGCGGUAAUAAAAGGGAUGCCCAGUCCCAAAAAUAAAUUGAAUUUCCUGGAAUGUGUUGUUAUGGAGGGCACCCGUGAAUACGGCUAGACAUGGAUUGUGAAAGGAAAGGUGGAAAAACUAACUCCUUCGGAUGUGAAUGGAAAAAAGGGACAAAAGUCUCAAAACCAUGGAACGAUGACAGGGAGCAAACAAUUUCUUUUCAGUUUGGGAGCCGCCUUUGAUGUAUAUAACUUGGAUGGUAUCGAAAGCCUUGAGUCGUUGUCGUUGACGAGAAAAGCAGGCCUCCCAAAAUAAUUUUUUAUCUCUUUUUAAAACUUGAGGUCUGGCACCACUGUAAAUCAAUGCUUCCCUCUGCGAAGGUCGUUCUAUUUAUUUUUAUGUUGAGUCUCAUCCUUCUCAUUAAAAAACCAACUAGGGGGUCAUGUGAUCAUGUGUGCGCAUGGAGUAUGAUUGACAUUCGACUGUGUUUCAUAAAUGGAUCAAUGGUUGAGCAUAAUGGGCUAGGGAUAAUUUUCUUUAGCAUUGUUAUUUUGAAAGGCAUGGUUGCGUGUUAGCAUUGGAGGGGGUAUAUAUAGCCACCUCAUCGGUCCCGGUUUGUGGCUGGAACCGGGACUAAAGGCCACCCUUCUGUCCUGGUUCUAGGCACGAACCGGGACCAAUGGCUGUGGGCUAGGAACGAGGACCAUUGGUCCCAUUCGUGCCUAGAACCGGGACAAAUGGGUACACACGAACCGGGACAAAUGCCUGCCGAGGACCGGCCGGCCCCCUGGGCGCACGAACCGGGACGUAUGACCCCCAUGGGUCCCGGUUCGUGACUGAACCGGGACUAAUGGGCUGGCCAGGCCCCAACCAAAGCCCUGUUUUCUACUAGUGAGGGGCGACGCUCUGCGGAGUUCUCCCUCUUGGGGGCGUUGUCGUGGAGCUUAGGUGUGCUAGGUCGUAGCGUGAGCAUGUUUUGUUCUUCUGGUACUUGUUGCUGGUAGCAUAGAAGCAUGCGUUUUGCAUGUGCCGGAUAUCUCAGGAUCGACUUUGUAAGGGCUACCAAACCAUAUUGUAUCGUUUGACCAUGUACAGCUUUGGAUGUUGCUUUGUUUAUAAAGCAGGGCAAAAUCCUAUUUCGAGAAUAAAGAAAACAACAGCAACAGCAAACAGGUCAACAACUUCAGAAUAGUUUUUCUUUUAAAAUUUCACUUGCUUAAUUAACUACAUGCAUAGGACUUUCUACAGUGUUUUAGAGAAGGACAACUAUGAUUUGCUAGCUAGUUAGGUAUUUCAACAGAACAUUAACAGCAAGGAGAAGGAGAAGAACUGUUAACAACCAGGCAGGCAGGUGGAGAGUGAGUGUGUGAGAGUGAGGUCUCUCUGGCUUUUUCCUGUAUGGCUACUCCUACUUCCUUCGCUGACAAAGACCUGUUCUGAAUCCGUAAUACUGAUUCAUAGUAAUGAUGGUGGAUCGACUAUACCUUGACUUAUCCAUGUACAACAAAAAUUACUACGUACAUGAUUAAAAAUCCAAGGGUCAAAUCCUGAUCAAUUGAUCCAGCAAAUUCUUCAUGAAUCUAGCAUGACAUCAAGUGUGAUUAAUAGGAGUUUCAAUUAUAAUUAGCCUCCGAGAAGCUACAUGGAGGAGGAUGUAGUCGUGUUUUGUGGCCUUGUCAGAAACUUCGCUUUCCAUCAAUCUGAAAACAAGUGGUAGAGGGCAAAAGAAUGAAAAAAAACAUGUGUAGAGGAUACGCAACACAUAAAGGCCACACACACAAAAACAGCGGUAUGGUAGCUGGUCCAUGACAUUGACAAGUCAAUUGAUUUGCUGCAACCAUAUAUAUGUACGAAUAAUAUCGCCAAGGAUAAGAGAAGGAAAAAAUAUAAAUAUACCGAUAGGCUCUUAUUUAGUUCCUGGAUGCAUGUUGCAUGAGCCAAGUGUAUCGGCAGUAUGGCUUGUGUUUGCUGCAUGAUGGCGGCAGGUUCCCAUUCAGUUAGGCAUGCUAAGUCCUAAAUUCAUUUAUUCACGUAUCGGGUAGAAGGAGAACAAAUUUCAUUUCUUUUCUGUAGGUUCCUUGCUUAAAAGAAAAUAGAAAAUAUACACUUAUAUAAUUACGAGAAAAAAUCAACUGUAUGUCGCUCAGUCUUCCCUUUUUGUUCCGUAUCAGUAUCAACAAUCAUAGUACUAAUAGCUUUCUAUACUGGCGCUAGUAAAUUCAAUAAAAGAAACAUGGAGACUAUCUGAACAAUUUGAAACAAUAUAGACAAACUGAGAUCAACUAACAACAGAAAUCCAAAAGAAAUGUUCAUGUCUACGUGGAGUGAAUCGAUCAAGCCGUGCAAAGCCCUAACAAUUUGUUUUGUAUUAAUAACUCAUAUGAUAAUACAACUCCUCCAUAUGAAAAGGUAAUAUGAUGAUUCAUGAAUGCUUAUCCAUCUUAUAAAUAUAUUGUGCACAAAAUAUCGAGUUAGUUCAGAGAAAACGGUGUCUAGAACAAUCUUCACAUUAAUAGUGUGAUCUAUCUCAAUGACUCACACAAGAUUACAAAGUUUGUUCCCUUAAGUAUGCCAAUCUGGAUACGCCUAACAAUAUGUAGAACAUGACAAACUAAAUCAGAACAAGGGACAAAAUCUAGAUCAAUGUUUGAAGUGUAAAGUGAAUACGAUGAGUCAUUUGUCGUUAUCAAGCAUUCCAUACACCUAGAUGAUAUGUGCAAGAACAAUCAACUAUGACGAACAAUCCAAAAUCACGAUAGUAAGUAGUACCAUAAUACACAACAUACCAAAUUAUUGUAAAUGAUAAGCUUAAGAGCACUUUUUCAAGAAGCAAGUGUGAAGAUUACAAACUUAGUUCCCUUAAGUUAUGCCAAUCUGGAUACACCUAACAACAUGUAGAACAUCACAAACUAAAUCGAAAGACGGACAAAAUCUAGAUCAAUGUUUGAAGUGUAAAGUGAAUACGAUGAGUCAUUAGUCGUGAUCAAGCAUUCGAUACAGCCAGAUGAUAUUUGCAAGAACACAACAUACCAAAUUAUUAGGUCGAUAAUCUUAAGUGCACUUUUUCAAGAAAAGAGUGGGAAGAUGAAAACAAAAUAUGUCAUGCCUGCUAUAAAUACGACUACACCAUGUGGGUCUCUUCCAUCAUCUAACCUUCAAGCACCUAGAGUAAAAACACCAAAGCCAAGUGAGCAAUAGUAAACACAAAUCAAACAUGAAGACCUUCAUCAUAUUUGUCCUCCUUGCUAUGGUGAUGAGCAUCGCCAGUGCCACUAGGCAACUAAGCCCUAGAGGCAAGGAGUUGCAAACACCACAAGAACAAUUCCCCCAACAGCAAUUCCCUCAACCACAACAAAUCCUCCAACAACAAUUCCCCCAACGACAACAAAUCCCCCAGCAACCGCAACAAUUCCCCCAACAGCAAUUCCCGCAACAGCAAAUCCCACAACAGCAAAUCCCGCAACAACAAUUCCCCCAACCACANNNNNNNNNNNNNNNNNNNNNNNNNNNNNNNNNNNNNNNNNNNNNNNNNNNNNNNNNNNNNNNNNNNNNNNNNNNNNNNNNNNNNNNNNNNNNNNNNNNNNNNNNNNNNNNNNNNNNNNNNNNNNNNNNNNNNNNNNNNNNNNNNNNNNNNNNNNNNNNNNNNNNNNNNNNNNNNNNNNNNNNNNNNNNNNNNNNNNNNNNNNNNNNNNNNNNNNNNNNNNNNNNNNNNNNNNNNNNNNNNNNNNNNNNNNNNNNNNNNNNNNNNNNNNNNNNNNNNNNNNNNNNNNNNNNNNNNNNNNNNNNNNNNNNNNNNNNNNNNNNNNNNNNNNNNNNNNNNNNNNNNNNNNNNNNNNNNNNNNNNNNNNNNNNNNNNNNNNNNNNNNNNNNNNNNNNNNNNNNNNNNNNNNNNNNNNNNNNNNNNNNNNNNNNNNNNNNNNNNNNNNNNNNNNNNNNNNNNNNNNNNNNNNNNNNNNNNNNNNNNNUUCCCCCAACAACAACAAUUCCCGCAACAACAAUUCCCCCAGCAACCACAACAACAAUUCCCAAAACAACAAUUUCCCAUACCAUACCCACCCCAACAACAAUCGCAAGAAGCUUCCCCAUACCAACAAUACCACAACAACAACUAUCUGGGAGCGACAUUAUAAGUAUCAGUGGCCGAUGAAAUGAAGAGAUGUAAUACUAGACAGGUGAAUCAUCGUUGUUAGUCAAUGGAGCAUAAUGUAACGGGUAUAAAUAAAAUGAUGUGCACCAUCAUGUGUAACCCAGACCUGUACUAGUUCAAACAUGGGAAUAAAAGACAAAUAAAUUCUUUUCUGAAGCACAUUGCUGGCAAUUGUUAUAUUCAUGCCAUAUUUCGAUUUCCAUCGCUAACUACAAUCUCAAUGUUAUGGUCUAUCUACUUAUUUAUGAAGUGUAGUAUUAUGAACAUAACAUAAUUAACAUGUCUGAAAAUUGGCUCAAAUUGAAGUACUAUUAAUUCAGGAGUAAGGAGUAAUUACAAUUUAACAUUUCAAUGGAGAGCUCUAAUUGUAGACUGUGUUGUUAAUUCUCCGAAGAGGAGAGGAUGAUGUAGUAUAGUAGAGAUAAGUAUUUCCAUCAGCUAAGAACCAAGGUUAUCAAUCCAGUAGGAGAACCACACAAAACCUCGUUAGCAGCACCUGCACACACAAAAGCAAACACUUGCACCCAACGCAAAUAAGAGGGUUGUCAAUCCUCUUAGCGAUUAUUUGCAAGGAUUAGUUCUGACAGUGAUACAUAGAUAAAAUAAAAUACUAAAUAAAAUAAAAAUAAAUAAAUUGCAGCAAUGUAUUUUUGUGCUUUUAUAUAUGAUAAAAGUAGACCGGGGGGGCAUAGUUUUCACUGGAGGAUUCUCUCUUGAUCAUAGAACAUAUGGUGGGUAAACACAUUACUGUUGGGCAAGCUAUUAUAUACUAAAAGGAAAAUACUGGUCCAAAAUAGAGAAUAGGCUAGAAAAUCCGGCAUUAAUUGGAAAAUAUGAACCCUUGAUCCGUUUAAUUUUAAAAAAUAUAAAUGUAUGACCGUUCAAUAUAGUUAACAAGGUAGGGCGUGGAUAACUUCCCGCGUAACGUGACACAUGUAAGAAACACAAACAUGGGUCCAGUUAAGGGAAACACAUAGAUGUGUUGAAGUGGGAAUGAAUAGAAUUGCUACGUCCGAAUAUGCAAGAGAUAGAAAAGAAGAAGAAAACUAAAGAACAUGUCGUGUUCAGAUUGGACUAAACGUAUGUGCGUAUACAACCACAACCACAAUCGGAAAGAUCCAGCCAUUAAUCCCGUGGGUCCAUCCAAAACAAAAGGAGGAUAUGCAUGUAAUUGCCCCACGUCCAUGGAACAUACUUAUUAGAGUCCACAAACAGCAGCCGCUUGUCUCUUUUACGUGAUCCUCCUUGCACUGUUAGGACUUUGCCGUCGGACAUCCCAAAGUUCUGGUGAAGUUCACAUCUAAAUAUACUAUCGUAGUAAAAAAAUCCAUUUCAUACUCCAGGAAAGAUAUCACCGUCCCAAAGUUUCAAUUGCAAUCUAAGUUUUGCCACAACUGGGUAUUUAAAACUUAUUUUGCCACAGCUCGGCAGUUUCAGCCACUAAGGUUUUUGUGGCAGAUCAAGCAUCUUCCCAUUGGAAACUCCCAACUGUAAAAAGACAAGCAAAAUAGCAAUCAUUGGCAAAUCAGCAAUCUUAUAGCGGCAGCAGCUCCCAUCAAUCAGGUAACUCAUCUUUCAAAAAUCAGAGACAAUAAGCAACCAUACACAUCAUGCACAUAUGAUAUUAACGAUAAUUACAUAUGUGAUUUCUGUGUCGAAUUUCGUACAACAUUACCAUGAAGAGAAGUGCAUCCACAUGGCAAGUAAUUUCCAAAAGCCGCCAAGAAGGUGAAAAGCAAUCAAAUAAGCAAUCCAACAAGUUAAUCAUUAAGCUAUAGACCAUGCAUGUUUCAGUGGUGCAUACAAGAUCAGUAGCACAAAUUCCUAGCCGUUACGACAUUCAUCAGGGAGGCGAGGACUGUGAAGCAAGGGGUUGCGAGCUGGAGGGAUUGGCGGCGCACCCCGUGUCUCAGCCGAGAGAGGAGAGGCCGGGGAUAGAAUUAAGAGAGACAGGAGAGAUGACGACAGAUGAUAGGCUAGGGAUCGUUGGGCGUUCUCACAUAUUGCGUGGAGGAGGUUAGCUAAAUGGGCCAGCACAAAGGCCCAGUCAACCGCAGGUGGCAGAGUUUUCUCCCAGUGCAGCAGCCCUUUAGGACAGUAGAGCCAAGAAAUAUAAUUACAAAAUUAGGGAUUCAUCCAACAGUCAGAAAUGAUCUAUACAAGUGAUCUGAUAGUUACAAAUGUUGAAUGCUUGAGAGAGCUGGGAUAAGUCUAGGUUUUACUGUCCUAAAUGUAUUAGAUAUGUGGAAUCUGACAGUUAUUAAAGUUUAAUUGUCCUUCAGAAAAAACUAUGGCUAAUCACCACUACGCUAAUUACUUUUUACAAUUGUUGUACAUGAAUGGGGGUUAGGGAGGCAUAACACUAAUCAAAUUAACAUCUAACACUAACAUGCAAUACCUUUUAAGUUCUUAUAUUGAUUCAAUCGCAAAAGGGAAAAAUGAAACAAAAGUAGGCAGCGGGACCUGGAAGUCAACAGAGGAAACAUAAGGGUAUGCUCAUCGUGUGGAAUCGUUUGUGGGGGGCGAGCUGAGUAAACAGAGGAAGGUGAUCGAACGACGUCUCGUGUUUAUUUGUUUACUGAACAGACAGACAUGUGUAAGUUUUUUUCCCUUUGAGGGGAAAGACGUGUGUAACUAGGGAGAGAUGAUUUUGCACGUUCUGUAUUUUUUUCCACCAGAAAACAGAUACUACUUUAACAAAUAAAUCCUACACUAAAUAUUUUAUAUGCUUUAAAUUAUAGGCCACAUACGCAUGAGCCUAAAUUAUAGGCGACUAUUUCAUAGGGUGAAAGUAAACAAAAUAGAAAAUCUUAUAGGCGACAUAAGCAUGAACCUAAAUUAUAUAUUUUAUAUGCUGGAAACUAUUUUAAAAACAUCUGAAAAUAUAGUGCAUGAUCAUCAGACCAAAAACUCUAGCCUGUACAAAACACUCAUAUUUAGACCGUAUAUUUCAUAUGGAGCUGCCAAUUCAUAUCAAUCCGGCACUACAACAGUAACACUAUCGUGCAGCCGCUUAAGUCAAAUCUAAGGUUAAAGCUAAUCAACACAAAAUAUCCAAUGUAAAAGGAAUUACUUAUACUAAAAAAUAUAAAAUAUAUCUAAGAGUGCGAACAAUGACAAAUAUUUACUAUAGGAGUGCCAGCCCUCGCAUUUGCGAGGGCCACCUUGCUAGUUGAUAAAAAACAAAUAAUUAUGACGGAUUCAUGGCAAUGAUCAUGUAUAUAGGCAUCACGUUCGAGACAAGUAGACCGACUCCCGUCUACAUCUACUACUAUUACUCCACCCAUCGACCGCUAUCCAACAUGCAUCCAGAGUAUUAGGUAGAAAACAGAGUAACGCCUUAAGUACGAUGACAUGAUGUAGAUAAAGUAAAUUCAAGCAAAAUCUGAUUAAACUCAUUAAUUGUCAGCCCAUCGGCUGUUAUUUUCCCCGGUCUGACCGUCCGCGACGCUCCUAUUGUUCGCAACGCUACCGCUACGACUGCGGGAGCAUGUUAGAGAUAUAUUUUCAUUAUACAUGUAACCCAAAAAUAUUUCUAACGUUAAUGACAACAAUACAAAUACGUGUGAUGUCCCUUUUUGUCACUGGGAUUGAGCAACGUAAGAUUGAGUCCAUCAUAAAGCACUUCUCCCCAUUGCAAGAUAAACCAAUCUCGUUGGCCAAACCAAAUCGAUAGAUCAGGGAGAAAUAUAAAGCUAAAAUAAUCACGCAUAAAAGAGCUCAGAGAAGACUCAAAUAUUUCUCAUGAAUCAUAUGAUCAUAAACUCAUGAUUCAUUGGAUCCCAACAAACACACCGGAAAAGAUGAUUACAUCGGAUAGAACUCCAAGAACAUCGGGGAUAACAUUGUAUUGAAUAUCAAAGAGAGAGAAGAAGCCAUUAAACUACCGUUUAUGGACCCAUUGGUCUGUGGUAAAAUACUCACACAUCAUCGGAAGGCAGCAUGGUUUAUGUGGAAGCCCUUCGUGAUUGAUUCCCCCUCCGGCAGAGUAAUGGAAAAGGCCUCCAGAUGGGAUCGCGGAAGAACAGAGGCUUGCGGCUGCGGAAAAGUUUUGUCAUCUAUCUCUCUGGUGGUUAUGGAAUAUUUGUGAAUUUAUAGUGGAAGAAUUAGGUCAGGAGGUGCCACGAGGGGGCCAUAAGCCUAGGGGCGCAGUGAUACGUCCAUUUUGCAUCAUGUUUUAUUACUGUUAUUUAUUAAGUUUUGAGCCAAUAUAACACUUCAUGAAGUAUUUCUAAUGCCUUUUCUCUCUUAAUAUGCAAGGUUUACACAAAGAGGGAGAAUACCGGCAGCUGGAUUUCAGGGCCUGAAAAAGCUACAUCAGAGAUCCCUAUUCUGCACAUCUCCAAACGGGCUGAAAAUUCACGAAGAUUUAUUUUAGAAUAUAAAAAAAAUACUGGGCCAAAGAUCCACGGGAGGAGGCCACCCAGGUGCCCACAUAGCAAUAGGGCGCGCCCUGAUGCUGUAUGAGGCCCCUGGCCCACUUCAGGCCCCCUCCUUCUGGUAUAUAAGUCAUUUUACCAUAAAAUAUUUAUGGGGAGACUUUAAGGACGAGGCGCCGCCGCCACGAGGCGGAACUAGAGCAGGAGCAAUUUGGCUCUCCGGCGGGCAGAUUCCGCCGGGGACACUUCCCUCCGGGAGGUGGAAAUCGAAGCUUACGUCAUCACCAACAACCCUCUCAUCGUGGGAGGACCAAUCUUCAUCAUCAUAAACCACAACACCAUCUCAUCUCUAUCCCUAGUUCAUAUCUUGUAUUCGAUCUCUGUGUCAAAACAUUAGAUUGGUACUUGUGUUUGACUAGUAGUGUUGAUUACUUAUCGUAGUUGAUGCUAGUGGAUUUGUUUGGUGAAUUACCAAAUGUUCUGAUCGUGCGUCCAAAUUAUAUCCUCUCUGAUCAUGAACAUGAUGAUGAUGUGUGAGUAGUUACUUUUAUUCUUGAGGACAUGGGAGAAGUCUUAUCAUUAGUAAUCAUGUGAUUCCGGUAUUCGUUCGAUAUUUUGAUGAUAUGUAUGUUGUGAUUCUCUUAGUGGUGUCAUGUGAACGUCGACUACAUGACACUUCACCAUUGAUGGGCCUAAGGGAACUCAUUGUGGAGUAGUAAUUAGAUGAUGGGUUGCUAGAGUGACAGAAGCUUAAACCCUAGUUUAUGCGCUAUUCCGUAAGGGGCUGAUUUGGAUCCACUAGUUUAAUGCUAUGGUUAGACUUUGUCUUAAUUCUUUUUUCUUAGGUGCGGAUGUCGGUGUCAAAACCGGCAGAUCUCGGGUAGGGGGUCCCAAGCUGUGGGUGUAGGAUCAAUAGGUAACAGUGACGAUGAACACGGUGUUUUACCCAGGUUCGGGCCCUCUUGAUGGAGGUAAAACCCUACGUCAUGCUCUUGUUUAUAUUGAUGAAGUAUCAAGGUACAGAGUUGAUCUACCUCGAGAUCAUAUGUUGUGGUCUAAACCCUAGGGGUAUGAUCAGUAAUGUCAUAAUGAUGAUAAUAAUCUAUCGACUAGCCUGGCCUCGGCUUAUAUAAUGUACUAGAGGCCUAGGAUAACAAGAGUCCUAGUUGGCUAUGUUGGUGGAGAGGAGUCCUUGUCUUGAUCACCAAGUCUUGUGGAAUCUUCCCUUUAUAUGUCAUCGGUUGGCCGAACUGGCCCAUUAGUGAGUUCCUCGGCCCGACCCACUGGUCGGGAGACAACGUGGUGAGUACCCCCUAGUCCAGGACACCGUCAGCGGAUGCUUGCGAGAGGGGGUAAUCAUAAGUGGGAGGCUUGUUCAAGUAAGAACAGCACCCAAGCACCGGUCCACCCACAUAUCAAAUCUUCAAAGUAGCGAAAGCAAAUCGAAUGAACAUGAUGAAAGUGACUAGAUGAAAUUCCCGUGUGUCCUCAAGAACGCUUUUCUCAUUAUAAGUACUAGUUCUGGCCUGUCCUUUGCACUAAAAAGGAUUGGGCUAUCUUGCUGCACUUUAUUUACAUUUUUCACUUGCUACUCGUUACCAAUUAUCUUGCUAUCAAACUACUCGCUACCGCUUGUUUCACUGUUUGCAAAAAUAUCGUUAUUGAAAACCGCAAGUCAUUUCCUUCUGCUCCUCGUUGGGUUCGACACUCUUACUUAUCAAAAGGACUACGAUUGAUCCCCUAUACUUGUGGGUCAUCACGCGGCCACCCACUUGGGGCGCUCCUUCAGUAGCUUAUCACUCCCUCGAGACUCCUCGGGUCUUCCCCGAAGCUUCCAGGGUCUCUUUUGGUCCAGAAAACUUAAUCCAAUGUUUUUCUGUGUUUGUACCUUUUUUAUAAUGAUUUUCUAAAAUGAUAAAAACAAGCAAAAAUAACAACUGGCACUAGGCACUACGUUAAUAGGUUAGUCCCAAAAAAGAUACAAAAAUAGCACAAAGUUGCAUAUAAAACAUCCAAGAUUGACAAUAUAAUAGCACGAAACAAUAAAACAUUACAGAUAGGAGGCGUAUCAAGCAUUCCCAAGCUUAAUUCUUGCUCGUCCUCGAGUAGGUAAAUGAUAAAAACAAAUAUUUUGAUGUGGAAUGCUACCUAACAUGUUUCAUCAUGUAAUCUCUCUUACGGUAUGAAUAAUAAGAUCCGAAUGAUUCAAAGCAAUAGUCUAUAAUUUGCUAUAAAGACAUCAAUACUCAGGCAUACUAACAAACAAUCAUGCCUUUCAAAAUAACGAUGCUAACCCAAGUUAUCCCUACAAAAUCAUAUAAUCCUAUCAUGCUCCAUCUUCUUAACACAAAAGUAUUUAUGAUGCACUACCCCAAUGACAAUCCAGGCAAUUGGUUCAUACUUCUUAACGUGCUUCAACUUUUUCAACCCCCACGCAAUACAUGACGGUAAGCCAAGGACAUAACACUAUGGAUGGAAUAGAACAUGAUGAUAGAGAUCAAUAAGGGGAAAUCAAAAAUAAGAAGAUAGUCUCACAUCAAUGCGGCUAACCAACGGGCUAUAGAGAUGCCCAUCAAUUGAUGUCAAUGCAAGGAGUAGGGAUUGCCAUGCAACGGUGUUGGGAAUCGUAGCAUAAUUUAAAAAAUUUCCUACGCUCACCAAGAUCCAUCUAUGGAGUAUACUAGCAACGAGGGGAAAGGAGUGCAUCUACAUACCCUUGUAGAUCGCGAGCAGAAGCGUUCCAAUGAACGUGGAUGACGGAGUCGUACUCGCCGUGAUUCAAAUCACCGAUGACCGAGUGCCGAACGGACGGCACCUCCGCGUUCAACACACGUACGGUGCAGCAACGUCUCCUCCUUCUUGAUCCAGCAAGGGGAAGGAGAGGUUGAUGGAGAUCCAGCAGCACGACGGCGUGGUGGUGGACGUAGCGGGUCUCGGCAGGGCUUCGCCGAGCUUCUGCGAGAGGGAGAGCUGUAGCAGGGGAGCAGGGAGGCGCCCAAGGCUGUAAUACUACUGCCCUCCCUCCCCCCCCCCUUUUAUAUAGGCCCCCUGGGAGGGGGGCGCCGGCCAGGAUCCCAUCUGGAUGGGGGGGCGGCGGCCAGGGGGGAUACUUGCCCCCCAAGGCAAGUGGGGCGCCCCCCCCCCCACCCUAGGGUUUCCAACCCUAGGCGCAGGGGGGAGGCCCAUGGGGGGCCUCCCAGCCCCAUAAGGGCUGGUUGCCCUCCCACUUCAGCCCAUGGGGCCUCCGGGAUAGGUGGCCCCACCCGGUGGACCCCCGGGACCCUUCCGGUGGUCCCGGUACAAUACCGAUAACCCCCGAAACUUUCCCGGUGGCCGAAACUUGACUUCCUAUAUAUAAUUCUUCACCUCCGGACCAUUCCGGAACCUCUUGUGAUGUCCGGGAUCUCAUCCAGGACUCUGAACAACUUUCGGGUUUCCGCAUACUCAUAUCUCUACAACCCUAGCGUCACCGAACCUUAAGUGUGUAGACCCUACGGGUUCGGGAGACAUGCAGACAUGACCGAGACACCUCUCCGGUCAAUAACCAACAGCGGGAUCUGGAUACCCAUGUUGGCUCCCACAUGUUCCACGAUGAUCUCAUCGGAUGAACCACGAUGUCGAGGAUUCAAUCAAUCCCGUAUACAAUUCCCUUUGUCAAUCGGUAUGUUACUUGCCCGAGAUUCGAUCGUCGGUAUCCCAAUACCUUGUUCAAUCUCGUUACCGGCAAGUCUCUUUACUCGUACCGCAAUGCAUGAUCCUGUGACUAACGCCUUAGUCACAUUGAGCUCAUUAUGAUGAUGCAUUACCGAGUGGGCCCAGAGAUACCUCUCUGUCACACGGAGUGACAAAUCCCAGUCUCGAUCCGUGCCAACCCAACAGACACUUUUGGAGAUACCCGUAGUGCACCUUUAUAGUCACCCAGUUACGUUGUGACGUUUGGCACACCCAAAGCACUCCUACGGUAUCCGGGAGUUGCACGAUCUCAUGGUCUAAGGAAAAGAUACUUGACAUUGGAAAAGCUCUAGCAAACGAAACUACACGAUCUUUUAUGCUAUGCUUAGGAUUGGGUCUUGUCCAUCACAUCAUUCUCCUAAUGAUGUGAUCCCGUUAUCAACGACAUCCAAUGUCCAUAGUCAGGAAACCAUGACUAUCUGUUGAUCAACGAGCUAGUCAACUAGAGGCUUACUAGGGACACGUUGUGGUCUAUGUAUUCACACAUGUAUUACGAUUUCCGGAUAACACAAUUAUAGCAUGAACAAUAGACAAUUAUCAUGAACAAAGAAAUAUAAUAAUAACCAUUUAUUAUUGCCUCUAGGGCAUAUUUCCAACAGUCUCCCACUUGCACUAGAGUCAAUAAUCUAGUUACAUUGUGAUGAAUCGAACACCCAUUGCGUCCUGGUGUUGAUCAUGUUUUGCCCUAGGGAGAGGUUUAGUCAAUGGAUCUGCUACAUUCAGGUCCGUAUGUACUUUACAAAUAUCUAUGUCUCCAUUUUGAACACUUUCACGAAUGGAGUUGAAGCGACGCUUGAUAUGCCUGGUCUUCCUGUGAAACCUAGGCUCCUUCGCAAGGGCAAUAGCUCCAGUGUUGUCACAGAAGAGAGUCAUCGGGCCCGACGCAUUGGGAAUCACCCCUAGGUCGGUAAUGAACUGCUUCAUCCAGACUGCUUCCUGUGCUGCCUCCGAGGCUGCCAUGUACUCCGCUUCACAUGUAGAUCCCGCCACGACGCUUUGCUUGCAACUGCACCAGCUUACUGCUCCUCCAUUCAAAAUAUACACGUAUCCGGUUUGUGACUUCGAGUCAUCUAGAUCUGUGUCGAAGCUAGAGUCGACGUAACCCUUUACGACGAGCUCUUCGUCACCUCCAUAAAGGAGAAACAUAUCCUUAGUCCUCUUCAGGUACUUCAGGAUAUUCUUGACCGCUGUCCAGUGUUCCAUGCCGGGAUUACUUUGGUACCUUCCUACCAAACUUACGGCAAGGUUUACAUCAGGUCUGGUACACAGCAUGGCAUACAUAAUAGACCCUAUGGCCGAGGCAUAGGGGAUGACACUCAUCUUUUCUCUAUCUUCUGCCGUGGUCGGCAUUGAGCCGUGCUCAACUGCACACCUUGCAAUACAGGCAAGAACCCCUUCUUGGACUGAUCCAUAUUGAACUUCUUCAAUAUCUUGUCAAGGUAUGUACUCUGUGAAAGACCAAUGAGGCGUCUUGAUCUAUCUCUAUAGAUCUUGAUGCCUAAUAUAUAAGCAGCUUCUCCAAGGUCCUUCAUUGAAAAACACUUAUUCAAAUAGGCCUUUAUACUUUCCAAGAAUUCUAUAUCAUUUCCCAUCAAAAGUAUGUCAUCCACAUAUAAUAUGAGAAAUGCUACAGAGCUCCCACUCACUUUCUUGUAAACACAGGCUUCUCCAUAAGUCUGUGUAAACCCAAACGCUUUGAUCAUCUCAUCAAAGCGAAUGUUCCAACUCCGAGAUGCUUGCACCAGCCCAUAGAUUGAGCGUUGGAGCUUGCAUACUUUGUUAGCAUUCUUAGGAUCGACAAAACCUUCCGGCUGCAUCAUAUACAACUCUUCCUUAAGGAAGCCGUUAAGGAAUGCCGUUUUGACGUCCAUCUGCCAUAUCUCAUAAUCAUAGUAUGCGGCAAUUGCUAACAUGAUUCGGACGGACUUCAGCUUCGCUACGGGUGAUAAAGUCUCAUCGUAGUCAACCCCUUGAACUUGUCGAUAACCCUUAGCGACAAGUCGAGCCUUAUAGAUGGUCACAUUACCAUCCGCGUCUGUCUUCUUCUUAAAGAUCCAUUUGUUUUCUAUGGCUCGCCGAUCAUCGGGCAAGUCAGUCAAAGUCCAUACUUCGUUUUCAUACAUGGAUCCUAUCUCGGAUUUCAUGGCUUCUAGCCAUUUGUCGGAAUCCGGGCCCGCCAUCGCUUCUUCAUAGUUCGAAGGUUCACCGUUGUCUAAUAACAUGAUUUCCAAGACAGGGUUGCCGUACCACUCUGGUGCGGAACGUGUCCUUCUGGACCUACGAAGUUCAGUGGCAACUUGAUCCGAAGCUUCAUGAUCAUCAUCAUUAACUUCUUCCCCAGUCGGUGUAGGCACCACAGGAACAUCUUCCCGCGCUGCGCUACUUCCCGGUGCGGAAGGGGUGACUAUCACCUCAUCAAGUUCCACUUUCCUCCCACUCAAUUCUUUCGAGAGAAACUCCUUCUCCAGAAAGAACCCGUUCUUGGCAACGAAUAUCUUGCCUUCGGAUCUGAGGUAGAAGGUACCCAAUGGUUUCCUUAGGGUAUCCUAUGAAGACGCAUUUCUCCGACUUGGGUUCGAGCUUUUCAGGUUGAAGUUUCUUGACAUAAGCAUCGCAUCCCCAAACUUUUAGAAAUGACAGCUUAGGUUUCUUCCCAAACCAUAAUUCAUACGGUGUCGUCUCAACGGAUUUCGACGGAGCCCUAUUUAAAGUGAAUGCGGCAGUCUCUAAAGCAUAGCCCCAAAAUGAGAGCCGUAAAUCGGUAAGAGACAUCAUAGAUCGCACCAUAUCCAAUAGAGUGCGAUCACGACGUUCGGACACACCGUUUCGCUGAGGUGUUCCAGGCGGCGUGAGUUUGAAACUAUUCCACAUUUCCUUAAGUGUGCACCAAACUCAUGACUUAAAUAUUCUCCACCACGAUCUGAUCGUAAGAAUUUUAUUUUUCUGUCACGUUGAUUCUCAACCUCACUCUGAAAUUCCUUGAACUUUUCAAAGGUUUCAGACUUGUGUUUCAUUAGGUAGACAUACCCAUAUCUACUUAAGUCAUCAGUGAGAGUGAGAACAUAACGAUAUCCUCCGCGAGCCUCAACACUCAUUGGACCGCACACAUCGGUAUGUAUGAUUUCCAAUAAGUUGGUUGCUCGCUCCAUUGUUCCGGAGAACGGAGUCUUGGUCAUCUUACCCAUGAGGCAUGGUUCGCACGUGUCAAAUGAUUCGUAAUCAAGAGACUCCAAAAGUCCAUCUGCAUGGAGCUUCUUCAUGCGCUUGACACCAAUGUGACCAAGGUGGCAGUGCCACAAGUAUGUGGGACUAUCGUUAUCAACUUUACAUCUUUUGGUAUUCACACUAUGAAUAUGUGUAACAUCACGUUCGAGAUUCAUCAAGAAUAAACCAUUAACCAGCGGGGCAUGACCAUAAAACAUAUCUCUCAUAUAAAUAGAACAACCAUUAUUCUCGGAUUUAAAUGAGUAGCCAUCUCGAAUUAAACAAGAUCCAGAUACAAUGUUCAUGCUCAAAGCUGGCACUAAAUAACAAUUAUUGAGGUUUAAAACUAAUCCCGUAGGUAGAUGCAGAGGUAGCGUGCCGACGGCGAUCACAUCGACCUUGGAACCAUUCCCGACGCGCAUCGUCACCUCGUCCUUCGCCAGUCUCCGUUUGUUCCGUAGUUCCUGUUUUGAGUUACAAAUAUGAGCAACCGCACUGGUAUCAAAUACCCAGGAGCUACUACGAGUACUGGUAAGGUACACAUCAAUUACAUGUAUAUCACAUAUACCUUUGGCAUUGCCGGCCUUCUUGUCCGCUAAGUAUUUGGGGCAGUUCCGCUUCCAGUGACCACUUCCCUUGCAAUAAAAGCACUCAGUUUCAGGCUUGGGUCCAUUCUUUGACUUCUUCCCAGUAACUGGCUUACCGGGCGCGGCAACUCCCUUGCCGUCCUUCUUGAAGUUCUUCUUACCCUUGCCCUUCUUGAACUUAGUGGUUUUAUUCACCAUCAACACUUGAUGUUCUUUUCUGAUCUCCACCUCCGCUGAUUUCAGCAUUGAAUAUACCUUAGGAAUGGUCUUUUCCAUCCCUUGCAUAUUGAAGUUCAUCACAAAGCUCUUGUAGCUUGGUGGAAGCGACUGGAGGAUUCUGUCAAUGACCGCGUCAUCUGGGAGAUUGACUCCCAGCUGAGACAAGCGGUUAUGCAACCCAGACAUUCUGAGUAUGUGCUCACUAACAGAACUAUUCUCCUCCAUUUUACAGCUGAAGAACUUGUCGGAGACUUCAUAUCUCUCGACCCGGGCAUGAGCUUGGAAAACCAUUUUCAGCUCCUCGAACAUCUCAUAUGCUCCAUGUUUCUCAAAACGCUUUUGGAGCCCCGGUUCUAAACUGUAAAGCAUGCCGCACUGAACGAGGGAGUAAUCAUCAGCACGUGAUUGCCAAGCGUUCAUAACGUCUUGGUUCUCUGGGAUUGGUGCUUCACCUAGCGGUGCUUCUAAGACAUAAUCUUUCUUGGCUGCUAUGAGGAUGAUCCUCAGGUUCCGGACCCAGUCCGUAUAGUUGCUGCCAUCAUCUUUUAGCUUGGUUUUCUCUAGGAACGCGUUGAAAUUGAGGACAACGUGGGCCAUUUGAUCUACAAGACAUAGUGUAAAGCUUUUAGACUAAGUUCAUGAUAAUUAAGUUCAUAUAAUCAAAUUAUUCAAUGAACUCCCACUCAGAUAGACAUCCCUCUAGUCAUCUAAGUGAAAACAUGAUCCGAGUUAACUAGGCCGUGUCCGAUCAUCACGUGAGACGGACUAGUCAAGAUCGGUGAACAUCUCCAUGUUGAUCGUAUCUUCUAUACGACUCAUGCUCGACCUUUCGGUCCUCCGUGUUCCGAGGCCAUGUCUGUACAUGCUAGGCUCGUCAAGUCAACCUAAGUGUAUUGCGUGUGUUCCGAGGCCAUGUCUGUACAUGCUAGGCUCGUCAACACCCGUUGUAUGCGAACGUUAGAAUCUAUCACGCCCGAUCAUAACGUGGUGCUUCGAAACAACGAACCUUCGCAACGGUGCACAGUUAGGGGGAACACUUUCUUGAAAUUAUCAUAAGGGAUCAUCUUACUUACUACCGUCGUUCUAAGCAAAUAAGAUGCAAAAACAUGAUAAACAUCACAUGCAAUCAAAUAGUGACAUGAUAUGGCCAAUAUCAUUAUGCUCCUUUGAUCUCCAUCUUCGGGGCACCAUGAUCAUCUUCGUCACCAGCAUGACACCAUGAUCUCCAUCAUCAUGAUCUCCAUCACUGUGUCUUCAUGAAGUCGUCCCGCCAACGAUUACUUCUACUUCUAUGGCUAACGCGUUUAGCAACAAAGUAAAGUAAUUUACAUGGCGUUAUUCAAUGACACGCAGGUCAUACAAAAUAAUAAAGACAACUCCUAUGGCUCCUGCCGGUUGUCAUACUCAUCGACAUGCAAGUCGUGAUUCCUAUUACAAGAAUAUGAUCAAUCUCAUACAUCACAUAUAUCAUUCAUCACAUCUUCUGGCCAUAUCACAUCACAUAGCACUUGCUGCAAAAACAAGUUAGACGUCCUUUAAUUGUUGUUGCAAGUUUUUACGUGGUUUGUAGGUUUCUAGCAAGAACGUUUCUUACCUACGUAUGACCACAACGUGAUUUGCCAAUUUCUAUUUACCCUUCAUAAGGACCCUUCUCAUCGAAUCCGUUCCGACUAAAGUAGGAGAGACAGACACCCGCUAGCCACCUUAUGCAACUAGUGCAUGUCAGUCGGUGGAACCUGUCUCACGUAAGCGUACGUGUAAGGUCGGUCCGGACCGCUUCAUCCUACAAUACCGCAGAAACAAGAUACGACUAGUAGCGGCAAGAAGAAUUGGCAACAUCAACGCCCACAACUGCUUUGUGUUCUACUCGUGCAUAGUAACUACACGCAUAGGCCUGGCUCAUGAUGCCACUGUUGGGAAUCGUAGCAUAAUUUAAAAAUUUUCCUACGCUCACCAAGAUCCAUCUAUGGAGUAUACUAGCAACGAGGGGAAAGGAGUGCAUCUGCAUACCCUUGUAGAUCGCGAGCGGAAGCGUUCCAAUGAACGUGGAUGACGGAGUCGUACUCGCCGUGAUUCAAAUCACCGAUGACCGAGUGCCGAACGGACGGCACCUCCGCGUUCAACACACGUACGGUGCAGCGACGUCUCCUCCUUCUUGAUCCAGCAAGGGGAAGGAGAGGUUGAUGGAGAUCCAGCAGCACGACGGCGUGGUGGUGGACGUAGCGGGUCUCGGCAGGGCUUCGCCGAGCUUCUGCGAGAGGGAGAGGUGUAGCAGGGGAGCAGGGAGGCGCCCAAGGCUGUAAUACUACUGCCCUCCCUCCCCCCCCCUUUUAUAUAGGCCCCCUGGGAGGGGGGCGCCGGCCAGGAUCCCAUCUGGAUGGGGGGGUGGCGGCCAGGGGGGAUACUUGCCCCCCAAGGCAAGUGGGGCGCCCCCCCCCCCACCCUAGGGUUUCCAACCCUAGGCGCAGGGGGGAGGCCCAUGGGGGGCCUCCCAGCCCCAUAAGGGCUGGUUGCCCUCCCACUUCAGCCCAUGGGGCCUCCGGGAUAGGUGGCCCCACCCGGUGGACCCCCGGGACCCUUCCGGUGGUCCCGGUACAAUACCGAUAACCCCCGAAACUUUCCCGGUGGCCGAAACUUGACUUCCUAUAUAUAAUUCUUCACCUCCGGACCAUUCCGGAACCUCUCGUGACGUCCGGGAUCUGAUCCGGGACUCCGAACAACUUUCGGGUUUCUGCAUACUCAUAUCUCUACAACCCUAGCGUCACCGAACCUUAAGUGUGUAGACCCUACGGGUUCGGGAGACAUGCAGACAUGACCGAGACGCCUCUCCGGUCAAUAACCAACAACGGGAUCUGGAUACCCAUGUUGGCUCCCACAUGUUCCACGAUGAUCUCAUCGGAUGAACCACGAUGUCGAGGAUUCAAUCAAUCCCGUAUACAAUUCCCUUUGUCAGUCGGUAUGUUACUUGCCCGAGAUUCGAUCGUCGGUAUCCCAAUACCUUGUUCAAUCUCGUUACCGGCAAGUCUCUUUACUUGUACCGCAAUGCAUGAUCCCGUGACUAACGCCUUAGUCACAUUGAGCUCAUUAUGAUGAUGCAUUACCGAGUGGGCCCAGAGAUACCUCUCCGUCACACGGAGUGACAAAUCCCAGUCUCGAUCCGUGCCAACCCAACAGACACUUUCGGAGAUACCCGUAGUGCACCUUUAUAGUCACCCAGUUACGUUGUGACGUUUGGCACACCCAAAGCACUCCUACGGUAUCCGGGAGUUGCACGAUCUCAUGGUCUAAGGAAAAGAUACUUGACAUUGGAAAAGCUCUAGCAAACGAAACUACACGAUCUUUUAUGCUAUGCUUAGGAUUGGGUCUUGUCCAUCACAUCAUUCUCCUAAUGAUGUGAUCCCGUUAUCAACGACAUCCAAUGUCCAUAGUUAGGAAACCAUGACUAUCUGUUGAUCAACGAGCUAGUCAACUAGAGGCUUACUAGGGACACGUUGUGGUCUAUGUAUUCACACAUGUAUUACGAUUUCCGGAUAACACAAUUAUAGCAUGAACAAUAGACAAUUAUCAUGAACAAAGAAAUAUAAUAAUAACCAUUUAUUAUUGCCUCUAGGGCAUAUUUCCAACAAACGGAUGCACUAAGAAGGCACCCCAAGGUAAUAUCCAAGGAGACUCAAGCGUCGAAGCUUGGGGAUGCCCCGGAAGGCAUCCCCUCUUUCUUCUAAUGACUAUUGGUAACGCACUUGAGGCUGUAUUUUUAUUCAUCACAUGAUAUGAGUUUUGCUUGGAGCGUCUUGUAUGAUAUGUGUCUUUGCUUUGUUUAUUUUUAGUUUAUCAAAAUCAUCACCUCUGAACACAUUUGCUUGAGAUAGCUUCACGUCAUCAUGAUUUGCUUGAAUUGCCCUUUGUGCUUCACUUAAAUUUGUUGAGCUAGGUGGUUGCUCUAGUGCUUCAUUUAUAUCUUUUUUAACACGGUGGUGCUUUUUUUUUGAAGAAACUUGUUCUCAUGCUUCACUUAUAUCUUUUUGAGAAUGCUAGAAAUUUUAUAGAAAUAUUAGUCUCAUGCUUCACUUAUAUCUUUUUGAGAGUUUGAAAAUACUUAUGGUAAAAUGUACAAGCUAUAAGCUUGGUCUCCAUAUGAUGAAUAUUCAAGAAGCAUAAUGAUAACUAGUAUAAAAAUUUAUGGGACAUGAAAAAUUUGAUUCUUUGCAACAAUUUUGAGAUAUGUAGAUGAUGAUAUGUGAGUUAUGUUCAUGAAUAAUUAUGCUCUAGUAUGAAUAUUGAUGUUAAGGUUUAUGAUUCCCUAUGAAAGCACGUAAAGUCAAUAGUUAUGCAAUGAAGUACAUCCUACUUGUGGUGCAUUAUUCGGUGUUAGUUAUGUUUAAUGUAUGCAUGUGCAUCAUUACAGUUUCUUAGUUGGUCGCUUCUCAACCAUUUUGCUAGCCUCCAUUUGUACUAAGCGGGAAUACUACUUGUGCAUCCAUUACCUUAAACUUGUUUUGUCAAUUGUGUCCAUCAUACCUACCUAUAUACGGUAUUUCAUUGCCGUCCCAAGUAAAUAUGCAUGUGCCAUCUCUAAUAAUUUUUAAAAUAAACUUCUCUUUUGUGUGCCUGUAUUGCUCAUGAAGUGAUAAGGGGUGGACGAUGAAUUCCGUGUUGUAUAUGUCAUUCUCAUGAUGAGUGUUUAUUCACUUGUCAUUGCACGAGAGUGUGGCGGUAAUAAAAGGGAUGCCCAGUCCCAAAAAUAAAUUGAAUUUCCUAGAAUGUGUUGUUAUGGAGGGCACCCGUGAAUACGGCUAGACAUGGAUUGUGAAAGGAAAGGUGGGAAAACAAACUCCUUCGAAUGUGAAUGGAAAAAAGGGACAAAAGUCUCAAAACCAUGGAACGAUGACGGGGAGCAAAAAAUUUCUUUUCAGUUUGGGAACCGCCUAUGAUGUAUAUAACAUGGAAGGUAUCGAAAGCCUUGAGUCGUUGUCGUUGACAAGAAAAGCAGGCCUCCCAAAAUAAAAUUUUUAUCUCUUUUUAAAACUUGAGGUUUGGCACCACUGUAAAUCAAUGCUUCCCUCUGUGAAGGUCGUUCUAUUUAUUUUUAUGUUGAGUCUCAUCCUUCUCAUUAAAACACCAACUAGAGGGUCAUGUGAUCAUGUGUGUGAAUGGAGUAUGAUUGACAUUCGACUGUGUUUUAUAAAUGGAUCAAUGAUUGAGCAUAAUGGGCUAGGGAUAAUUUUCUUUAGCAUUGUUAUUUUAAAAGGCAUGGUUGCGUGUUAGCAUUACUUGAGUAUUUAUGUCUUCAUGUCAAACUAUAGAUUACUAGUCAUCAACCCGUGCAUCUCCAUGGCCUAGCUACUAUAGGGAUCCAUAAUUAUUAUGAAAAGUGUAUUAGCUUGUGAAAUAUUGUAGUUUAAAUUUGAAAUAUCGCACAAUGCUAAGUUUUUCAUAUUAAUAAGAAAAUCAAUUAUAUUCCUUCAACUAAUGUUUAUUAAUAGGUUUAUGUUCCUCUAUGGUGUUCCAAUGCACGACAAUUUAUGCAUACUUUUCUACUUGUCUUGCAAUUGCGUGAUUUCACAUAUAAAAUUAAUGACCAUGUUAACGGUGAUAUAUGUGAUCCACCGGGGGAAUUUAAUAGGCUUAUUUUCCUUAACAUGUGGCUUGAGGACUCCUUAUUUGUACGUUUCUAUUUUCUUACUUAAAGCAGACGGGUACAUAGUUUAUGUUUUUGUGCGAAUUGGGAUGUGUAAUCCUUUUUUAUAUGGAAAUUCAGAAUGUAUCUAUCGAGCAUGAAAUCAAACGAUGUAGUAUCUCAUAAUACUCGGGAAAAAUGUUUAGCUGUAAACAUUUAAAUUUAAUGGAUCUGGUUGUGAAAUGCCACUAUUUUGAAAUACUCGACGCUCUGCUUUUCGAACCCUAGUGAAAAAACCAUUAAUAUUCCAACCCCUAAAAAAGCAAUCAUAUUCCUUUAAUUAUAUUUCAUAACUGGAUUAAGUUUAUUUUGUUAUGUGUGACCAUUUAUGCAGAUUUCUUUCUUCUUUAAAAAUUAGGUGGUUUCAUGUAAUAAAUCAAUGACCUUUCUUUUGUGAUAAUAUUUGGGAGCCACAUGGAGAGAUUCAUGUAUGCUUGUGUUUGAAUUAUUUUAUUUUGACUGGAUCUUGUUUUUGUAUGUGAGUAUUCAAAUUGAUUUUUCAAUUAUUAGGCGUGUCCGUAUUUGUACGUGUCAUUUUUUUUCCAUGUGACGCCGCCCUUUAAUAAUUUCUAGACUCCUUAUUUCGUCGUAAUUUUUGGACUCCUUAUUUGUACGUGUCCGUUUUUUCUUUCCUCAAGAGUACAUGCACAUGGUGUUUGUUUUUUGGGAAUUAGGAUAUACACACUUUUGUAGUGUGAGGAGAAUAUAUUUUAUUUUGUACGUGUAUUUUUUUUUCUUUUUUUAGGAAGGAGGAGGCACGUGCUUUUUAAAGUUGGACCAUAGCUCUCUUUUAUAGCAUAAGGAGUUCUUUUUUUGCACGUGACGCAGCCCUUUAAUAAUAAGAAAUGUCUCAUUUUUGUACGUGUGGGUUUAGAUGAUUUUUCUUAAUCGCGGUGGCUCUAUUUGAUAGCGUGAGGACUCCUUUUUUUCACGUGAUGUCUUCUAUUUAUAAUAGGAAGUGUCUCUUAUCUUUGUAAGUGUGGGUUUAAUUCUUUACGCCGUGUUUUUUUAUAAGGAAAGUCUUCUAACAGAUCUUGACCAUUAAAUUUUCAAUCUAAUGGCUAAAUUAAGCUUGAUGAUGUGGAUUAACGUGGAAGCUCGUAUGGUGCCUCCAAUUAAUAAAUAUAAGAUUGCUUUGAAUCAUACAAGUCCUCUUGUCUAUGCUAUAAAAAUAAAUUGAGUAUGUUGGGUAGCAUUCCACAAUCAAAAAUAUGUUUUAUCACUUUCCUACUCGAGGACAAGCAGGAGUUAAGCUUGGGAUGCUUGAUACGUCUCCAACGUAUUUAUUAUUUUUGCUUGUUCCAUGCUAUGAUAUUAUUAUUCUUGUAUGUUUUUAUAUCAUUUCAUACAUUUUUAUAUCAUUUUUGGAGACUAACCUAUUAACUUAGUGCCUAAUGCCAGUUUCUGUUUUCUGCCCUGUUUUUGUUUUACAGAAAAUCACUAUCAGAUAAGAUCAAAUCGUCCCAAAACUUUUUAAAGAUUUUUUUCUGGAGAUAAGGAUCAGCUUCAACUUGAAAACCAAGGAAGAAGCUUCUGGAGGGCCCCACAUGGGGGGCGCGCCCUGAUGCCAUGUGGGCCCACUCUGUGUCCUUUUGCCCUACUUCCACCUCUAUAAAUUCAGAAGAAUUACCAAAACCCUAAGACACCAGAUGAAACACUUUUUUCGCCGCCGCAAGUCUCUGUUCUCGCAAGAUCCCAUCUGGAGGCCUUUUCCGGUAUUCCGCCGGAGGGAGAACUACUCACGGAAGGGCUCUACAUCAUCCUUGCCACCUCUCUGAUGAUGCGUGAGUAGUUCACCAUAGACCUACGGGUCCGUAGGUAAUAGCUAGAUGGCUCUCUCUCUCUCUCUCUCUCUCUCUCUCUCUCUCUCUCUCUCCCUCUAUGUUCCUCAAUACAAUGGUCUCCAUGGUCUUCAUGGAGGUCCAUCCGAUGUAAUGACUUUGUGCGGUGUGUUUGUUAGGAUCCGAUGUAUUGUGAGUUUAUGAUCAGAUCUAUCCUUGUUUUAUUUGAGUUCUUUGAUGAUCUCUUUUAUGCAUGAUCUAGAAUAGCCUUGUAUUUCUUCUCCGAAGUUUUGGUUUGGUUUGGACAGCUAGAUUGGAUCCUCUUGCAACGGGGAGAGGUGCUCGGUAAUGGGUUCGAUCUUGCGGUGCUCGGUCCUAGUGACAGAAGGGGAGUUGACACGCAUGUAUUGUUGCCAUUAAGGAUAACAAGUACGGAUGAAUUCUUAUUUGUGUUUGUCUUGACUACAUCAUGCCAUUGAUCUUUAUGCAUUACUUCGUUCCUAUGAACUUAAUACACUAGAUGCAUGUUGGCUAGUAGUCGAUGUGUGAAGUAAUAGUAGUGGAUGCAGAAUCGUUUUGGUCUACUUGUUUUGGAUGUGAUGCCUAUGUUAUGAUCAUUACCUUCGAUAGCGUCAUAAUUAUUUGCUCUUCUGUCAGUUGCCCAACAGUAAUUUAUUUACCCACGGUAUGCUAUUUUCUUGAGAGAUGCCUCUAGUGAACUCUACGGCCUGCGGGUCUACAUUUAUCAUAAGAUCUAUCUUGUUUUACUUAUACACAAAUACCAAAAAUAUUUGUUGCAUAUUUUUAUCUUUUAUUUAUUUAUCAAUCUAUCAAUCUAUCAUAUACCAUUUAAUCUCGUUACUUGACCACCGAGAGAUUGACAACCUCUCGUUUGCGUUUGGUGCGAGGGUUUGCGUUUUGUGUGUAGGUGUUGUUUAUGUGGUGUUGCUUCGUUCUUCUACUGGACUGAUAACCUUGGUUUCUUAACUGAGGAAAAUACUUACUCUACUGUGCUGCAUCAUCCUCUCCUCUUCGGGGAUAAAAAUCCAACGCAAUCUACAAGUAGCACCUUGCGACAACCGAUGUGGCGAUGGAGAUCGGCCUGACACCCACACUAACCGAAAUUACUUGGUUAAGAAGGUCAUGUAGAUCGUAAGCGGCAAUGCGGACAAGACGAACCCUUGUAACAACAACGAUAAGGACAUGCUACAACCCGGUAAAGGGGAACGGCAGGCAGAAGCAGUACCCACUACAAACAAAGGAUGUAAAUAAGAUUUAUCCAUCUCACACCUCCAAGAAAGAUCGAAAGCGUGCUGUCCACGAGGUAUAUUCCGUGGAGUCCUUUGAGCCAAAAUACAAUCCUUGGUUGAAAAUCCUGAUCACAUGUAUUUGUCAUGACCACCAGACUAUCGUCCACCAUGGCGGUUUGCCCGCACUUGUCUUGGACCCGAUAUUCAACAGUUUCCACCUCAUCGAGCUUGAACCUCAGCUACGUCGAUACACUGAGAAAGAUGCACUUCGACAAGUCAUGUAUCGAGCUGGUGAAAACCAAGUUCAAGGGUAUUAUAUAUCACGGGCAUGAGGCGCACUAGAAGGGUCACACCAGACGGGGUGUUCGGUACCUCAUACGUCUACUGUUUGGAUCCUCUAAGCUUUGACGUAGUCCCUUUCAAGUGUGGUUAUCACUCCCUCCUCGUGUCAGACCGCGUUCGCGCGCUUUGGCAUCGUCACACAUUAUGCUUACAAGAAGCUCAAGAUGUCAGGCCCGAAUGUCGUCAUCAUCUUGGGGAACAUUGAGCGAUCUCAUAAGACUCAGAAGACCACGUUGGUUCUAGCGGUCGAGGCCGAGGCAAUGGCCUUAGCAAAGAAGGAGAUUGCUGACAUGAGGACCAAGGUCAACAAAGACUAAAUAAUCUUCACCAAUUGCACAAAGUCAACGUCAUUCCAGCCUGGCCAUGACAUCGUAAAGUUCCAGGUGCACACCAAGGAUCCGGCCAAUAGAUCUACAAAAAAGUAAGAACAUCACUAAUCAAAGAACAAACUAGAGCAGCAAACAACAACAACAGGAGGUCAGCUGUUGAAUCCACAGAGGGAGCAAAGCAAAAAUCAGCAAGCACGAAUGCAGCGGAAGCUCGAACUCAAAGUAGCCGUGGGAGCUGCAACAUAAAUCGCCAGAGAAGAACCCACUCCCCCUAACCAUCUUUCUCUCCCGGUUGAAGAGUGGCUACUCGACACCAUGUGAAGCAUCCAGAAAUUAAACUUGGAAAAUAAAGGCAACAAAGACACCCGCGACUUAACGGGCGGUAGCGGUUACUGGGAAAAGAAGCUGGCCCGAUAAGAAAAACUGAUAUCCUCCAUCGGGAAUCACAAAGCAAGAUCGAAUGACUAGAAAAUUUGACAGAAGCCGAAUUGUAAUCAGUCGAAUGAAAAAUAGCAAAACCUCUGUCGGGGGUUGAGACGCUUCAUCAAUAACUUACAAGGGGGAGGGGGGCUCCGACAAGAGCGAGUCCUGAUGCCUGUCACCCUCCAUUUUUUUUCCUCACAAAGAGAUAAAGACCUUUCUGAAUUGUUCCACAUUGAUUUAAUCAAUGGAAACAUUUCUUAGGUAUGAAGAUGAUUGCCAAAUCCUGAACCAAUCCCAGCAUAUUCUACCUCAAGCUCCAUGCUUCGCUUUCCAUUGGAAAAAAAGAUAGUGGUAGAGGAUAAAGAAAACAAAUUAUGUAGAUGACACACAACACCUAAAAGAAACAAAUUUUGUGCUGGUCAAGGACAUGACCCCGCCUGGACCUGUUUUCUCUACCACAAAUAUUUGAAUGAUUUGAUGCCUGAAUUUGCAGCAACCAUAUAUACUCCAACGACACAUAUACUCCAGCGAAUAUAUGUGAGAACCAAUUAAGCUGGAUAAAGUUUCCAGCCCAAAUCAAUGUACGUCCUUUUUUAUUGCUGCGUGAUUUCAAGUGUUUAUAUUUGACUUGUGUUGCUGCUUGAUAUGGACAGACCUCCACAUUGUUAUGUAUGCACAUUUCCUGUAAUACGCAAACUUCUGUUAGGAUGAUCUUUAGAUUUCUUACUUUGAGCCAUUCUUGCGACUAAAUUGAGUUGUUAUCAUAUCAGCGACAGCAAUUAAUAUAACUCUUCUAACAUAAUUAAUUGUGUCUGUAAACAGAAUAACAUAAUUAUAUAUUGUUUGGAUGCGUUUCGAAACCUAACUGCUCCUGCUCUGCUUAUAGGAUGGAUGGUCAAAACUUGCUUGUACUGUAUACAUGAUGUUUUGGAUUUCUUGUUCCAUUUCCAUGUCCAUCACAAUGCAUAUGUCAACAGUGACAUAAGAAGAAAGAAAAAUCGAAAAGAGCAUAAAACUUCCGGUCUCCGCAUAAUAGCAACAUAACAAAGAGAUAGACAACAAAAUAAAGUGAUUAUUCACUACAUGCAACAAAGGAAGUAAUUCUUUGCCGUAUAACUUUGAUGUCUAGCCCAAUUUAUCUAUUUGUAACAGCUUGAUACACUAAUAAAAAAAUCCAUUAACGAAAAAGUAUGAUCCCUGACAUAUACAGUAACGCUGUUGUUAAAUCUCAAUAAUACAAAACUCACAUGAUUCCACCAUGUAACAUAUGCGGGUAUUUUACCAUGUAACAUAUCCCAGUGAGCACAGGCAAACUAAUUAACAAGCAGCAAGAACCAAACGAGACAGAGAAAGAGAAAAAUAAACAGGUAGAACAGGGUGAAGCGGGGUACUCUACUACUCAUGAUGAGGAGCCGAACUCGAUGCGGACGCCAACGACAAUGAGGAAGAAGGCAUUGAGCGCGCAGAAGAUGAUGGUGUGGAUGAGGAUGGAGACUACGCUCGUGUGGAAUUUGCCGCACUCGAUCGUCCGUGAUUUGCCGGGGAUCUGGAAGAGGAGCCCCGGGGAUAGAAGGAUGAAGAGCAUGAAGGAGAUGAGCACCGGACCCCAGUCUUGCAUCUUCUUCUUCCUCCUCUUCUUCUUUGGGAUGAUGAUGAUGAUGGCUACUCAAGCCAGCUACAGCUAUGCUUCUAGAGGUAGAUAGAAGAUGGCCUUUUCUUUAUUUAUGGAUGGCUUUCCAUUCUUUGUGUGGAUUAUCACUUAUAUAUGUACUGCCAGGACAGCAGGGCAAAUGGAGUGGUCUCUAGAAAGUUUUGUUUCUGAAAGAACUUGUGGUUUCCAUAAGAUGCAAAACGAGACUAGCUUCUUUAUUCUGUGAAAGAGGAGGGCGGAAGCAACCAAUCAGAGUGGCUUGCUUCCUUUGUCUGUUUGAGUUUUUUCUGCACAAACUUAAUUAAUGAACGCAUUUUCUGGACAGCAAAAUUUCCUCCAGGAUAUGGACAGAAAUGAGAAAUUGCCCGCUCUCUAAAGUCUAAACCAACAGUAAAAUCUUACAUGGACCAUACUGAUACCAAUGCCAUAUACUCCCUCCGUAAAGAAAGUACUAUUUAGAAGUACACUCCUAUAUUUCUUUAUAGAGGGAGUACUAUUUAGAACUAGUUGUGAAUCAUCUCAAGAAGGUCAAAAUUCAGAAAGCUCACCAUUAAAGUGUAGGUUUGCGGUUAGACCUUACUCCUUACCUUAAUAGGGAUCUAGCUCAGUCUGACUUCCACAACCAUUUGGUUAUUUUUUUAAGGUUAUUUUGCUACAUACAAAGCUAGUUAAUGCAUAAUAUUGUGGUUAGGAAUGAACAUCUCCACGUGUGCCCGAAUGGAAACACCGACGGAUAACGCUAUAUGCAGAAAAUAACUUAGUUUGCCUUUUAUUCCCAAGUUUGAACUAGUGCCAGUCUAGUCCACACAUGAUAAUGCAUGGCACUUUAUUUUUCACCGCUACAUGGAUCGGACCAUUGACUAAACAUUGGUGGUCCAUUUUUCGGAUACUAGAACUCUCGUCUUCUCAGUAGCCGCCCAUGUCGGUAGUGACGUCACUGGAUGGUGAUAUGGUGGUGUAGCAGUAUGGUGGAACAUGCACGUCGCACAUUGCCGGGAUGGUCUGAAUCACCCAUGUCCCUAUCACCGCAAUCCAACCCUGAUCCAGUUGUGUUUGUUGUUGUGGCUGGCUAGAACCCAGACCCUGUUGUUGUUGUUGACCUUGUUGUUGCUGCUGCUGAGGUUGGGUGGAAGUAGCUUGUACCAAUUGUUGUUGUUGUUGCAAAAUAAUGGCGUGCACGACGUUGUGGAUGGCCUCGCAUCUUGACUGCUUGGGGAUCGCUUUUAGUUGCUGACAGCACUGCUCCCACAUUACCAAGCAGCUGCUAUGUUGCACCACCUGUGACCGGAGGAAUGACAUAUCAGCAACUGGGCUACACUGUUGUAGGAGGGCAUCCCUGCAUGGGUUCAACUUUUGAUGUGGAACUGGAUGUUCUUGUGGCUGCGGAGUUGGUUGAUGCUCCGGAGAUGAUGGAUGUUGCGGCUCCCAAGCACUACGGAAUGCAGUAAAGGGUUCGGCGGCCGUGGUGGUCGCCGCGACAACAAUGAGGGCAAGGACGAGGAAUUUCUUCAUGGUUGAUUUGUGUUAGAUAAUGUUUGUUCUCCAGUUGAGUGAAUGGUGGGUGCUGGAGGAGUGUCUUGAUUGUUUAGGCCUAUUUAUAACCGACAUGGCAUCGCCUUUUUUCAUCUUUGCAUUUCCUUUCCUUAAAAGUGCAUGGAUGCUUCUCGGACUCUAUCAUUUGGUAUGCUGCGUUAGGUGCAACUACUUACAAGCAUAUUCCUGCACUGAUCAUCAAAGUUCUUUGUUGUUGCAUGUAUCAUUCCGCUAUCAACAAAUCUUGAUAAUUGACAUAACUCAUCUUACUUACUUUACAUGUCAAACAUCGAUCCGGAUUGCAACAUUUUCUAAAACUGGGUUUGUUAUAUUCUACAAGUUGUUACGCAUAAACUAGAUUAGCUUGCCUUGUGCCGAACUAAAGUUUGUAAUUUUGUGUGGCCUGUAAAGAUACAAUAGACUAGUAUUGUAACUUGCAAAAGUAGAUGAUGACAUGAUUCGUCAAAGUCCCUUUACAUGCCAAGGAUUGUAAUGUCGUACAGGAUUAGUAUAAGGAUUUACACUCAAGUACAGGCGAAGAUUUGUUCAAGAUUCCAUCUAUUUGUCGAAUUAAACCUGUACUGUUGUGCAAAUCGUUAAGAUAAUCAAGUAUUGUUUGCUGAAUAAGUUCGGGAUUGUUCAUGACUAGUGUUAGCACCGGGGAUUCCUAAGAAUGAUACAGAGCAUGUACAUAUAAGUAUGAAUAGAUAUGCAUCCAGGCGUUUCAUCAAUCUGCAAGAGAAAUCACAAGCCAUCUGUUAAUUAAGCUACAAACCUACAAAACAAAUAUGCGUCCAGAAAAUGUACCGGAUUUCAAAACGUUCAUGUUUGCAAAAAAUGUUCUCAUUACACAAAAAAGUUCAAAACUUUCUAAAUUCAGAAAAUGUACCGGAUUUCAAAAUUUUGUUCACGUAUUCAAAACAAAGUUCACGCUUCCAAAUUUUUUCGGGAUUUUUCAAAAUUGUUCUCCGUUUAAAAAUUUGUUCUCAAAACUAAAAAAUGUCGGUGCUUUAAAAAGUUGUUCGCGCUUCAAAAUUUGUGCUCAAGAUUCAAAAAAUAUUCGUGCUUUAAAAAGUUGUUCACAAAUUCCAAAACCAUCAUGUUUUAAAAAAUGUUUGGGAAAUUCAAAAUGUGUUCGUUUUCAUAAAUUUCGUUUGCGUUUGUGAAAAGAUCAUACGAUCAAAAAAUUUGGAAAAAAAGGGAUUUUGCCAAACAGUGUUAAGUCCGCAACUGUACUUCGUUUCUUUUAGAUUUCCGCUGUAUUUCGGUCGACAUGCCAGUUCGUGCAAGCAGGAAGUGCCAUGUUCCAUUCCUUGCCACCGCGCGCUACCCUGUUUUGUGUUUUUCACGCUCGUAUUCGAAGUGCACUGAAUGGGCAGGCCUACUCGGCACCCCCUGUGCGACAAGGCGUAUAUUUGCCGCAGAACGCGGCAAAUAGGAGCUCCCGCCAUGCGAAGCGCUGAAUCGCGGACGCCCCGCUCCCCCGCGCGAUGUUUUGGGCCGGCCCAUGUGCGGCGCAGGGGGUCCUUUUUUGUUGUUCUCUUCCAUUUUUUUUCUUUUUCGUUGGUAGUUUUUUUUUCUUCUUCUUCUUUUUACCUUUUUAAACAAUAUUCAAGAUUUUCAUAAAAUUUUCAUGAUUUUUUUAAAUCAGCAAAUUGAAAAAUAUUAAUAGCUAUCAAUAAAAUGUUCGUGCAUUUAAAAACAAAUUUAAAAAUGAAAAAAAUGUUCCAAUUCAAGUAAAUGUUAGUGCAUUUCAUAAAAUCUUCACUCAUUCAAAAAACGUUCUUGCAUAUCUAAAAAAUGAAAAAUAAAUUGUAUCUGAUGAACAAUUUUUGAAUUCGAUGAAUUUGAUGAGGAAAUUCUGAAUUGGAUGAACAAUUUUUGAAAUCGAAGAACUUUUUUUAUAUAUUCAAGAACAAUUAAAAAAUGAUGAACAUUUUUUGUUUUUGACAGAAAUAUUUUGAAUUUGAUGAACAAAAUUGGGUUCGAUGAACAUUUUUUAACUCGGUGAAUUUUUUUGAAUUUGAUGACAGAAAAUGUUCAGGAUUUAAAAAACUGUUUGUGAAUUUGAAACAUUUGCAAAUAAAAAGGGAAAUAAAAAUAAAAAAAGAAAACGAAGACAAAAAAUAAAAAAAAUGUCUGUGAACGUUCUAGAACUUCUACUACUACUUCAUAACAAAAGAAUAAAGAGAAAGAAACAAUAGCCCAUACGUCCCACAGUGAUAUUCCGUUAUUAGCUAGCUAAUUAUACAAACAUUGAUGAUCAAUAAUACUACCUCCGUUCAAAAAUAACUGACGUGGUUUUAGUUCAAAUUUGAACUAAAACCACGUCAAUUAUUUCUGAAGGAGGGAAUAUAUACUAGUGUGGCUCCGCUCCUCAUCACUCACAGUCUAUCUGUCUCCAAUCAAGAGUUGGCCACCACAUCGUUUCUCCCUCCCUUAAUAAACUAGCUACUCCACAAAAUUUAAUUAGCUUAAUCAACUCAUCANNNNNNNNNNNNNNNNNNNNNNNNNNNNNNNNNNNNNNNNNNNNNNNNNNNNNNNNNNNNNNNNNNNNNNNNNNNNNNNNNNNNNNNNNNNNNNNNNNNNNNNNNNNNNNNNNNNNNNNNNNNNNNNNNNNNNNNNNNNNNNNNNNNNNNNNNNNNNNNNNNNNNNNNNNNNNNNNNNNNNNNNNNNNNNNNNNNNNNNNNNNNNNNNNNNNNNNNNNNNNNNNNNNNNNNNNNNNNNNNNNNNNNNNNNNNNNNNNNNNNNNNNNNNNNNNNNNNNNNNNNNNNNNNNNNNNNNNNNNNNNNNNNNNNNNNNNNNNNNNNNNNNNNNNNNNNNNNNNNNNNNNNNNCUAGUUGGUGCCUUGCUAUUUGCCGGUCCACUGUGUGUUCCCGGGGCUCCACUUAGGGCACUUGGGGCUCAGGUACUUGCCCUCCACCAUGUCAUCGAGGAGCUCCACCACCGGGCCCUACCACACACACUCUGACACGUUGCACUGGUUGAUCGAUGCAUCGCGACCGAGCGCGUAGUCCAUGAUCUUGCCAAAGGUGCCCUUGGGAGACGAUGUGGAUCUCGAGGGGUCUGACGGAGCAGUCAGCUGCACGACAUUGCCGGUACACAUUGUUGGAGCUCUCACAGUCACAAGGACCGACUAGGCGGCAUGAUUGAUCUUCUUUUGCCGAUCCGCCUUUUAGGUUCACCUCUUAGCCAUUGAUUGUUGGCUCUCUGGAGUAUGUACCCUUUUUAUUUUCCUUUUUGCACUUGGGCUUGUUUGUGCGGUAGUCCUAGCUGACCUUUAUUUUUCGUUCAUGCAUUUGAACUAUCUGUAUUGAUGGGGUGGUUGAUUUAUAUAUAAAGCGGGGUUGUCUCAAAAUAUAUAUAUAUAAAGCGGGGUAAAACUCUAGUUCAAGAUAAACUUAAGGAGGUUGCCUGCAAGAUUAAAUUUGUGCCCUCUAUUUCUUUUCAGAUGUUGUUUAUGAGAAGAUACACCUCUAACAUUAACGGAAGGAGUAUAUACUUUUACAGACGACAGCCCAUGACAAUCUUGCAUCAAAAGUUUUUCACACCAUGUAAUUGUACACUCUGUGUUGUAAAUGAAGGGGUAGGUACGGUGAAAGGGGGAGGAUGAAGUAGUCCAAUCCUUUGAGAGUCGAUCCACCGCUCAUCAAGUUCUUAGUGAAGUCGAACAUGGAGGGGAAGGGGCUCCUUGAGCACCUAAAAUAGGUAAAUAAGCAAUCGAUGAAGAACAUCAUGAAAACAAGAGGGCAUGUUUGACUCGCAAGAUUCUAAAUAGAAAAACGGAAAGGUAGGAACAUGAUAUAAGAAUACAUGCAGAAAGUACAUGACUGACAAACAUAUAAAUGAGGAAUAUCAAAACACAAGAAUUAAUCCUAAUAAACAAUGUCAAACCAUAGUCAAACCACAUGGGAAAGUAUAAUUGGAACUAUACCGUUAAGGAUCUGAGCCUCGUUCUUCGUUUGUAGAAAUUUGAAAAAGAGGACCUAACGAAUUGCACAGUUCCUCGUUUUUCCUUUCAGAUCGAAGGGAAAUCCUUCUCCAUUUCCCCUUUGCUCCAUUCAUUUGAACCAAGUGUAUGAAUAGUGCACCAGAUGGAAAUUUUGUCGGGUUGGUCGCGACGGCUUGCGUGACAUCACCGUGGGAGCAACAAAGGCACCCUUAACAUGCAAGGUGUGUCAGGCGAGCUAUGUUAGCCAACCUCGCAUGACUGAAGUGGCAUAUGUCUGCUCUAUCAGACGAAGUGUUCCUCUUCGAUGUCACUGAGCUUCGUGGAUAUCCUUGUGCCUGCCCGGAUUGAUACAACGUUUUCGGUGUGCACUCUAGUAGCGGCGAAGGCGCUAGAGUUUCAUGAUGUUGUGUGGUGUUGGUCUUCUCGCGUGUUGUAUGUUUUGUGGUGCUUUAGGUCUAGUCUAGCUAGGCGUUGUUUAGGUUUCUGCCUGGAUUUCCUUGAUAUUUUGAGCAGUCCUUUUUCAUUCCUUCUUUUUUUGGCACUUGGCUUUAUGCGGUGCAUUUCUCCUUUGGGGUGUUACUGGUAAUACCCUUUUCUAAUCAAUGAGUUUGGCAUCUCUCCUGCCAACAUUAAAAAUAAUCUUACAUGGACCACAUUGAAGGUCAAAAUCCAGAAGGCUCACCAUUAAAGAGUUUACCUUAAUAGAGAUUCAGCUUGCUCCAAUUUUUAAAAAUGCGCUACAUACAAAGCUAAGUAAUGCAUAACAUUGUUUUUCGUAUGAACAACUCAACAUGUGCAUGAACGGAACACUGACAAAUAGUAUAUAUGCAACAAAAAAUAAAUAUCUUGUAUUUUAUUAAUUUGUCGCCGCUACAUGGAUCGGACCAUCGACUAAACAAUGGCAGUCCAUCUAUCGAGUACUAGAUCUCUUUUCUCAUUAGCCACUCAUGUUAGUAUAGCGAUGUUACUACGGUGAUGUGGUGGGGGAGCAGUAUGAUGGUACGCGGAGGUCGCACAUUGUCGGUAGGGUCUGGAGCACCCAUGUCCUUAUUGCAUCGAUCCAACCCUGAUUCAACUGAUGUUGUUGACGUUGGAUGGAACCUUGACCUAGUAGUAGUUGUUGUGGUUGGGCCAAAGUACCUUCUACCAAUUGUUGUUGUCGUUGUUGCAAAAUAAUGGCGCGCACAACGUUGUGGAUGGCAUGGCAUUGUGCUCGCUUGGGGGUAUGUGAUAGUUCCUGACAGCACUGCUGCCUCAACACCUGGCAUCUGCUUUGUUGUACCAUCUGUGACCGGAGAAAUGACACAACUGCCACUGGACGACACUGUUGUAGGAGGACAUCCCUACAUGGGUUCGGUUGUUGUUGUACAAAUGGUUGUUGUUCCUGAACUAGGUGUUCAUGUUGAUGUGGAAAUGGAUGUUGCGGUUGGGGGUAGGAUGGCUGUUGCGGUUGGGGAUAUGGUGGUUGUUGUGGAAAUUGUUGUUGCCUAAAUGGUAUCUGUUGUGCUGGAAAUGGCUGUUGUUGCGGAGUUGAUUGCUCCUCUUGAAAUGGUUGUUGUUGCGGUUGUGGAAAGGGUUGUUGUGGUUGUUGUGAAAAUGAUUUUUGUGGUUGCAAUUGGGGACUAUGGCGAUGGUAGCGAUGGAGGCAAGAAAGGCAAGCGUGAGGAAGAUCUUCAUAGUUUAUUCGUGUUGGAUAAUGUUUGCUUGCCUUUGAUGUGUUGUUCUCUAAUGUGAAUGGUGGAUGAUGGAGGAUCUUGAUGGUGUAUGCCUAUUUAUAGCUACCAUGGCAUUGUUUGUUUUCACCCUUGCAUUUACUUUUCUUGGGAAGUGCAUGCACGCUUCUCAACUCAUUAUUUCGUAUGUUGUGUCUGUUGGCACUACUUAUAAGUGUAUUGUUGGAUUGCUCAUCAAAGUUCUUUGUUGUUGCACAUAUCACUCCACUGUCACCAAAGCUUUAUAAAUUGAGAUAACUAAUGUUAUUCACUUUACAUGUCAAACAUCAAUCUAGAUUGCAUCGGAAGUUUCUGAAACUACUCCCUCUGUAAACUAAUAUAAGAACGUUUAGAUCACUAAAGUAGUUAUCUAAACACUUUUAUAUUAGUUUACGGAGGGAGUAGUUUGUAAUGUUCUACAGGUUGUUACACAUAAACCAGAUUAGCAUGCCUUACACUGAACUAAGUUUGUAAUCCUGUGUGGCCUGUAAAGAUACACAAGACUUUACAGUACAAUGUGACUUGCAAAAGUAGAGCAUGACAUGAUUCAAUAUUCUGUUGGUUUGCCAAACUAAGUUUGUAUUGCUGUGCGGAUCAUUCAGAUAAUCAACAGGUUUUGCUUGCUAAAUCUGCUCAUGACAAGUGUUGGAACUGGGAUUGCUAGGAAUGAUACCGAGCCUUUACAUGGCAUAAUUUUUCUGCAGCUCGAGGGAAAUUUAUUUAGCAGGUAAAAACAAAUAGAUAAGAGAUAUCCAGGCAUUUCAUGGAUCUGCCAGAAAAUUCACAAGGCAUUAUCUAUCAUGAACAAUGCUACAAAACAGGUUGAGGAAAGCAAUCACAUUCUUAUUCCAGCCGAACAGUAGUUGAAUGCCGUAUGCUCAGAUUAGAAAUAUUGGCUUCAACUCAGCAGUCUCUAACUAGUAGGAGAAAGACCUGUAACAAGUCCAGAACAAAAUCCAGAUGUGCAGAUCGAAGAUGAUAAGCCAUCUAAAACUCAGACCACUGGAAGCUCCCCGCACUCACUAAUGACCACCUUCUUCUUCGGACGGUCACCUCUGUCAGUCUCCGACGACUCUAUCGUCCUUACGAUGUCCAUGCCUUCAAGAACCUGGCCAAAGACAACGUGUCUCCCAUCCAGCCACGGUGUCUGCAAGCAAGGCAGCAGAAACCUCAAUAUGGAAUUAUGAACUUCAAACUCAGCAACAGAAAAAGGGUACUAUUAUUCAAAUUGACUGACUGGUAGCAGGAAGUACACAAUUAAUUACCUUCAUUGUGCAGAUGAAGAAUUGGCUGCCGUUGGUGUUCGGUCCAGCAUUAGCCAUGCUGAGCACUCCAGGUCCAGUAUGAACCACUAAGAACAUUAAAUAACAUAUAAUCAGUUAGCAUAUAAUCUGAAGCAAAGCUGUGCGACACAGGUUCAUUGCAACACAUACAUUGGAAGUUCUCAUCCUUAAAGGUGCGGCCAUAUAUGCUUUUCCCUCCAGUACCCUGAAAUUAUCAGUUUCUAGUUAUUUAAUGCCAUUGUUGGAAGCUGUAUGUUUCAUUUUAGGCAAUCUGAAGUCUCAAAGUACUUCAAAUGCAGAUGAAACACAAAAUCAGGUAUGGGCUCAAUAUAGGAAAGGAUGGCGCAAUGACAAUCACCUUGAAUUCUUACCACGAGGCCACUGACCAAAAAAACAGAGUAGGAUGCACUUGUGCAAGUGAUUAAUGACAAUCAAACAUGGAUAAGAUCCAGGGUCAAAAUGCAGCACCAUAACAAAUUGAAUGCAGGUACACGAGCAAAGCUAGUAGUAAAGGUUCUAAACUCCCUUUCCUUCUCCCCCAGUCCCUCUGGUCCGUAAAAUAAUGCUUAAACAGCUAGCAUAACUAUCAACAAACUGAAACAGGUACAUUCGUGCAAAAAACAAAUAAGCACAUGUAUCUGUUCAAUCUUGUAAGCAAAGGUAUUUGCAUGGUAACAACUGAUAGUCUUUAGCUUUUCUUAAUGCAAUCUGUAAUACGGCAUAAGGAUGCACAUGCAACAAACAAGAAUAGACGAAGGUAGGAAACACAUACGUUGCCCUUGUCAAAGUCUCCUCCCUGAAUCAUGAAGUCCUUAAUGACACGGUGGAAACUUGAUCCCUUGUAUCCGAACCCUUUCUCCCCUGGACAAAAGAAAAAAAGAAAAAUUGCUCAUACACCUCAUCAGAAUUAAUUCUUGAAGAUGGGAUAACAGAACAUGGCUCCAGCAGUCCCUCCUACCAGCGCAGAGUGCACGGAAGUUCUCAACGGUUUGUGGAACGUCAUCCCCAUAGAGCCCGAUGACAAUCCUUCCAACAUUCUUCCCGACAGGGUUGCCAAUGCUUAUGUCAAAGUACACCUUGUUUGUAACUUUGGACUGAAGCUCAGGUGCCUGCAAUGCAUGACGAAAGAACAGCUUCAAACACCAUGAAAUGCAUGACAUCUAUAAUAAGGUAAAAGACAUACAACAGUGCAAGCACAAAAGCGGCAUAUUGUUUAAACCAUACAGUGGCACAUUUGUUCCCUUAGACAGCCGGCGACUAAAACUAACUGGGCCAUAUAAUGUACUAAACACUAACACAUGCCAUACCAAUGUAUGGUAAUAUCUGCAUCUAACACUGGCAUAACCCGACGGUUAUCAUAAGUGAUGAUAAAACCUCAACUUGCAAAUUUGUUCACACAAAAAAAAAAUUAUCAGUUAGUGACCAGAUUUUUCUCAUGAAAAUUACAGCUACC